CCAAUCUCAGGUGAAAGUCCUCGUUCUCUCUCUAUAUAUAGCGAUAUUUUCAUAUUUUUCCUCUCGAGGUUUUAUUUGAAUUUUUUUCAUCUGAAAUAUCAGAAAGAAAUCUAGUUUGAAUCUAAUCUCAGUUGAAAGUCCUAGUUCUCUCUAUAUAUAGCUAUAUUUUCAUGUUUUUCCUCUCGAGAUCCUAUUUGGAUUCUUUUCAUUUGUUAUCUCAGAAAAAGCCUUACUUCGAAUCCUGCUUUGAUAAAAUCUUGAAUAAGGAAAAAUCUUUUUUCUUAUUGAACGGUCGUUUUAAAGAAACUCUUAAAUCUGAAUUCUCGAGCUAUAUAUAUUAGUAUUAGGUUUGAGCUCUUAAUUAAUUUUUUCUUUUUAAAUAUUCUUUUUUUUUUCGUAUCUUUGAUAUGUAUAUUGAAACUCCAGUGAAUCUAAUUGGAUUCACAUUACAUAAGGUCAUUAAAGGAGAAAUUAUUUUUUACUAGGAUUUUUUCUCAUUCCAACCCAAUAUAUGGAGUUGAUGGUAAUAUUUUUUUUUUUUUUCAAAGUUUUAAUGGUUGGUCAAAACUUUUGGUAGAACAUCUUUUUUAAGAAAAUAAAUUUAAAGGAGAAUAAUAAAUUAAAAUGAUCUUUUUGGUGAAAAUAGAGAGAUUUGUAAGUAAUAUUUUAUAUUGAUUGUCUAUGUUAUUCUAAUCGUUUGCUACUUAUCAAACAUCAAUAAAUAAAUAAGAACGUUAUUUAUUUUUGAGGAAAAUAUUUUUCAUGAUUUUUUUUUUUCUUCUUAUCAAAUGCAUGCAUCCUAGAUGUUUUUAAAUUAUUAUAUUGUGGGGUUAUAUCUAAGGUUACUUGAUUAAUCCAAUUUGUUAUCUAAUUAAGAAGUACUUAUUGUUCUUGUUAAUUAUAGUGUAAUUAAAGUCCAAUUGGAUUAAAAGUGCUCAAAAUAGAAAUCUAACGGGGUGAAAAUGGAAGAAGCGAUGUUGGUGAGGUUCAAUCCGAAGACGGUUUUACGAUUUGUUAUUCGUAAAUAUCGAUCUCAGAUUGAGCCGCGCCAAUAUCACUUUCUAUAAUUUUAUUUAGAUUUCUUUACUCGAUAUUUGAUACUUGUAUUUUAUAUCAGUGGUUAUUGUAAUAACUUUUUUUUUUGUUAUCUAAAUGUAAUUAAUCCAUUUUUUUGGGUUGAUAAGGGAAUAUGCAGUCGCUAUUCUUCGCAUGCAUAUAAGGUAAGCAUCUCGUCUAAUGUAAUAGCCUUCAAAUUAAAUAGAAAGAAACGUAAAACGUACAAGACAAGUCUCGUACAACGAGCUCGAUCUAAAAAACAUGUGACGAGUUUCAAAUCGAAUUAUUCAAUCAAUUCGACCACCCUCACGAAGGUAAUCCCACUUUAACUAACGAUCCUUCACAUUAGACAUUCUAAAUCCACCUCUUUUUUUUUUUUUUUUUUAACAAGGGAAUAUGAUUUCGCUAUUUUUCGCAUGCGGGUAAUGUAAAACCCUUGCUUUAGUGUAAUAGUCUACAAAUUAAAUAUGAGCGCAAAUUGUAUAAAUUAGACAUGACCGUGUAACGAGUUCGAUCUAGAAAAUAUGUAGAGAGUUCUAAACACGAGACCUCCAUUUGCGAGAUAAUUUGUUCAAUCAAUUUGAUUAUCCUUACAUCUUUUCUACGUCUCACACUCUAUCGAACCAUCACAUCAACAAGAAUAAAUCCACAGAAGUUUUUUUAAAAAAAGAAUUCAAUAAAAGAUCAAACUCAUCUCGCGGUUUAUCGUUACAAUAGGUGUUACCCAUGGCACCCAAGGGUUUGGCCUAGUGAAUAGUGAUCAAUAAAGUGUGUCGAGAAUGUAAGAGGUCUCAGGUUCAAAUUCCAGCGGAGACAAAAACACACUAGUUGAUUCUUCUUGUUUAUCCCAGCCUUGGUGGACAAAGUUAUCUGAUAUCUAUUGUUGGUGGGAGAUGACACGUAUCCCGUGAAUUUAGUCGAGGUACAUGAAAGCUGGUCUAGACACACAGGUGGGAGGUGGCAAGUAUCCCGUGAAUUUAGUUGAUGUGCACGAAAAUUGAUCCAGACACACUGGUGGAAGGUAGCAGGUAUCCCAUAAAUUUAAUCGAGGUUCACGAAAGCUAGCCCAGACACGCUGGUGGGAGGUGACAAGUAUCUCAUGGAUCGCUGGUGGAAGGUGAUAAGUAUCUCGUGGAUUUAGUCGAGGUGGACAAAAGGUCGUCCAAACACGUUGGCGAGACGCGACAGGUAUUUCGUGAAUUUAAUCGACAUGCACGAAAAGUAGGUGACAAGUAUCCCGUGGAUUUAGUUGAGGUGCACGAAAGCUCGUCCAAACACGCUGGUGCGACGUGACAAGUAUUUCGUGAAUUUAAUCGAGGUGUACAGAAAUUGAUCCAGAUACCACAAUCAUAAAAAAAAAAAAAAGAAGUUCCACACGUGUCAUUCCUUAUUACUAGUUCAAGCAUAUUCAAUCUCCAUUCCCCUCUCUCUCUCUCGUGACGAGAGAGAAUAAAGAGAAAAUAAAUUCAUUUUUUUUUAAUUUACAAUUUUUUUUCUAAAAUAAUUACUAUAUAUGUAAUUUCUAUAUUUAGAAUUAUCAAAUUAAUUAUUUAAUUUAAAUUAUAAAUGUGCAUGAUCGGAAUAGUGAUCGGAGAAAUCUGAUAAUCGGAAUUAUUGUUUGAUAUUCCGGCACAACAUGUCUGCUAUAGUGUGCGGAAAGAGAUCGAUUUUAUUUGACGAUUUUCAAUCUCAGUCGCCGUCGCCGUCGUUGCCGCCGGUGAAUAAGAGGAUUCGCCUUAGUUUUUCUCCGGCGACGUCUAAUUUUGAUAAUUCGAUUGCAUCGUUGAAGCUUGAUCAUUUACUCAUGGUUUUCUCUGAUAUGGAUAAGCAGGUUGUUUAUUAUUAUUAUUAUUAGUAGUAGUAUUAUUAAUAUUAUUAUUGUUGUUGUUUUGCUUUUAAUUGUGUUGAGUUUAGUUGUAAAGAAAAAAAUUAGAGCUUUUUGUGUGUGAGUUUCCUUAAUUAUCAGUAAUUAUUUAUUAAAACACACCUAAAGUAUUUAGCUUUUUUGAGUUUCAUACUUGAAUUCUAUUUGGUGUGUGAGUUUCCUAGUUGAACUGUCGCCAAUUAUUUAUUAAAACACAUUUAAACUAUUAAUUGUUUGAGUUUCGUAGCUGAAUAUUCAGGUAGGAAGAAUAAACAAUUAACAGUUUAGGUAUAAUUCGAUAAAUGAAGGGGAGCCUUGGAGUAACUGGUAAAGUUGAUGUCAUGUGACCAGGAGGUCAUGGGUUCAAGCCUUGGAAAUAGCCUCUUGCAGAAAUGUAAGGUAAGACUGCGUAUAAUACACCAUUGUGGUGGGCCCUUCCCCGGACACCGCGUAUAGCGGUAGGUUUAGUGCACCGGGAUGCCCUUUUCUAGGUGUAUUUCGAUUAUUCGUUGGUGAUAGUUCAGGUAGGAAACUCAACACACCUAAUAGUUCAGAUAUGAAACUAAAAAGAGCUGAACACUUUAGGUGUGUGUUACUUGAACCGAAUGUUUAUUGGAAACAAUGUAUGUGUACGCACUACCAUCGCCGCACUCUACUUGUGGGAUUACAUUGUGUUUUUUUGUUUGUUGUUGUUGUAGUGUAUCUAUUUUUUUGAUUUUGAUAUGGCAAGAGUAAAGCACUUGAGAAGGUUUGCCCAUUGUUAGCCGUUCCAGACGACUUUUUUAGUAAUUUAACAUCAUCUCAUUGUAAAGAUCCUUCAUUUCUGAUUGUACUAGACAAGCAAUGUUUUCAAAAAGUACUGAACUUGUGAGUUAUCCAGUGGAAUCAGUCAAGGGUAUGUUCAAGUUGGCCCAUAUAGCAUGAUUAUUUAAAAGAAAAAAAAGAGAAGCGAGUAUUGAACUUGACUUUAUAAAAAAAAAUGAAAAGUAGUAUUGGAGAAGCUCCAUUGACAACAAAUGCUUGUUGCCUCCUUCAUUUAGUUAUUUGGGAUGUGGGGAAGUACCUUUUGAGUGAUUUGGUGAGUUUAUUAAUGUCUUUCUUAUGACUAAUUGUACUAGGCAAGCUGUAUUUUCAAAAAAGUAUUGAACUUGUGAGUAUUUUUUAUGAGUGGUUGUACUAGACAAGCAAUGUGUUCAAAAAAGUAUUGAACUUGUGAGGUAUUGCGUACUUGUGUUGAUAUUGGGAGGUAGCAGGUCCCAGUGGAAUCAAUCGAGGUGCGUGCAAGCUGGCGAGAUUACACGAUUGUAAAAAAAGAAGCAAGUAUUGGCCUUGUCUUUAUAAAAAAAAAACUAGUAGUUUUGGAGGGGCUCCGUGACAAGAAAUGCUUACUGCCUCCUUCAUUUAGUUAUUUUGGGACGUGGUGAAGGACCUUUUGAUUGAUUCAGUUAGUUCAUUAAUGUAUAUCUUAUGAUGUUGUAAGUGGGAAUUGGCGGAAUGUGGUUUUAAUUAAUGACUUAACUUAUGCUAAUUUCCGUCAUACCUUUUGCUUAAACAAGAUGAGGUGUGUAACUAAAGGGGUAACUUCUAUGUACUUCUUGUUGAUGAUUAAUGUGGUUUUGUAAUUGAAUUCACUGUACGAAGAUUUUCCUUUUAUUAGCUGUUUGAAGUGCUAUUUUAUGAUUCAUCUUAUGCUUUUGUUGUUGAACUUGUUGCUAACUUCUCAUUGCAAACAACCGGCAUAACUGAUUUAGAGAUCGUCUUCCGUCUGCUGCUUAUAGUUUUUAGUUAGACUCUGGAGAUCUUUCACUUUACACUGUAGGAACUUAGUGCUUGCAUAAUUGAUUCGUUUGCGAGUUUAACAUAUUCUCCUAGACUUUGAAAAUGGGCUGAGAAGUUGAUUGAUCAACUGUGCUUUCUCCACAAAUCUCCUUCAAUAGAGGAAGAGUUAACUAGCUUUCAGUUAGAUUUUCAGUAUGUGAAUUGAAUCCCUUUUGUCUGAUAUCUUGUGUUGUUUCAACACAUUAUAUAUGCUAUAACUUUGAAUUUACAAAUCUAAAUGAGUAAAUGAAAAGGGAAGACAGACUCUGCAAAUACUUUAACAAUUUUGAAGCAGUGAAGUAUAUCGAGUCUCCUGUAAACAAGUAAUGUUAUUAGUACUCUCUUACUACUUUAUUGUUCGAUUUUAUUUUUAUUACAUGUUUUUCUCUGCUUCGAUUCUACCUCUAUAAUGUAGGAGGUAAGGUCUGCGUAUACCUUAUCCUCUCCAGACCCCUUGUGGUGUUACACUGGGUAUGUUGUUGCUGUUUACUCUGCAUCGGUUAUCAUACUACUUCUUGUUGCUACUGAUUAUUUUGAUCUUGAAAUUGUUCUUUGUUUGAGGUACUUAAAAUUGAUAACUAAAAAAUAUUUUAAUUUUUAAUUAUGUGUGCUAAUAGUUUCAAUCACAUAUGGUGAUGUAUUAUAGAUUAAGGAUUUUUGUUGGAAAUAAAAGAUUAUACAAUCUAAAACCACUUAUAUAUUUUAGGUUAUACACUGGAUAUCCAUUUUUCAAUACGAUUAACGAAACAUCGAUAAAGCCACAUCUGAUAACUAUAAAAGCAAUCCAGUGAUUGUUAUUUGCUUGAUGAGUCAAAUGACUCAAGUGUAGAAAGCAAUAUUCCUGAGAGUUGGUUGUGAGAGACUUUAGUGCAUGUUGUAGAGUAAUUUCUUUUGUUAAUAUCUGCUCCUAUGUUUCCUUAGUUAUUAAGGAAAAUAAUUUUAUUAAUCCAUUCAGUAUUUGAUAUUAAGCAAAGUUGGAGAAGAAAAACUUCUUAAAAGAGGAGGGAAUGAUUGCAAAAGUUGAUUUGAAUUACAACACAACUUUUGAACAUCAGCAGUCGCGAAGUAGUUAUGUUCUUUUUCUUUGUUAUUGUUGUCGUCAUUGUCAUUAUUUCUUUUUGUUUUUCUUUUCAAUCACUCAAUUGAAGGGGAGCUUGGAGUAACUGUAAAGUUUCUGCCAUGUGACCAAGAGGUCACGGGUUCAAGCCUUCGAAACAGCCUCUGGCAGAAAUGCAAGGUAAGACUGCGUAGAAUAGACCCUUGUGGUUGGGCCCUUCCCCCGACCCUGCGCAUAGAAGGAGCUUUACUGCACUGGGUUGCUCUUUUUUUUCCAAUCAAUCAACUAUACUUUAGUUCAAAAUUAGUCGGAGUCAGUUAUAUGAAUCUUUUGUAUUCAUUCUCUAUGGUCUAUUUCAUUCAAAUGCUAAAUAAUUUCUCUUUGUAGGUAAAUUAGGGAUUCUCUAGAGCUAGAGGUUCCCUAGGUCUCACACUUGUUAUCCCAUAUAGAUUUACAAGUCUAUGACUAUUAUAAAAUGAAUCUUGACACAAAUUAUGUGAUUAGAUUGCACAAUUUCUAGAAGUGUUGCAGAAUUAAUGAAUUUGUACAGGAGUUGCUAAUCCACCUACUUUCGGUGCGACUAUAAUAGAAGAAAGAGGGAAAUUAUAUAAGGGUGUUAAAACCAAUAAAAGUUCAUAGGGCUCAACAAGAUUAGCGCUUCUUCGAAAAGAACAAACAUUAGGUUUUGUCUUGUAACAGAACAAGAGUUUGAAGUAAUUGACCACAUCGAGGAACACGUUAUGCACAAAAUUCCAAAUUUCCUUGCCACUUUAAAAGAACUGAGAAAGUGCAUUCUUCUCAGAAUUACUGUUGAUGCAUAUCAUAUAUGAUGUGUCGGUUUAUUUUUUAGCUAUAAAGCCUUUCGUUACGUUACAAAAGAGAAGGCAACGUAACCAAAAAGGAAAAGUUUAAGGUUGUCGUGCAAUUUCAAAACUCCUCUUUUCGUUUCUUUUAAUGGCAUAAGUUGUAGAUUUAGAAUGUGCACUUUGGUAGUCUAAGAGGAUUUCUAUCGAUUCUGCGCUCCAGAAAUGGUAUGCGAUCUGCUUACCUUCAUUUUGUGAUAUCACUGAUGCAUCUAGUCUCUUUUUUUUUCAUUUAAAAGAAUUUCCAUCUUUAAGCUGUCAAUUUUGGGUAUGAAAACAUUUAUCUGCAUAGAUAUCUUUAGUUAUAUAUAUUCUUUAUUUACCCUGAAUAGGGGAAACUUAAACUAGAAAUUUGAUUUUUUAGUUGGUUGAGAAAGCACUUGAAGAGUGUGGCGAUGACCUAGAUUCUGCAAUCAAACACCUAAAUGAGCUCCGCUUGGGAUCUGGUGAUAAUCUGAGGCCUGUGGCAGGAACCUCUGGUGCUACACAUGACUCCACCAGCCAGUUUCUUACUCAAGGUGCACAUUGAUUUUUUUGUUUUGUUUUGUUUAGGUUGAUGGUUGUUAUUUCCCCCUCCCCCCAUUUUGGGGUUGUUUCUCAACUUUUGUUGGUGUGAGAAGGAACGGUAAGAGGAUUGGGAGUCCCUGUUACAAUUCAUUUAAUCUUCUAUAUAGAUAGCCAAGGUUCCUUUUUUUUAAAAUAGGAUAACUUCUUUUUUAGUAAUCAUGGCACUUCUUAGUGCUGGUUUUGACAUACCAUUUCAACAACCAAAAAAUACAUUUGAUGUCUUCCUUCAUUUGUCUAAAGAUCUGAUCUUUCUUACCCCACUUACUGCACUUUAUUGAUUUUCCCAUUUUCCAAAUGUUUGUCAGUGUCCUGUCGAUUCACCUGCUUCUGCUCUAUAACAUGUAUCAAUUUUAUAGAUGUUUCAAUUGCAACUGUUCAACUAACUGCUUAUCGUUUUAAUGCUUCAUAAUUGGUGGUUUUGUGUUUUUAAAAUUGAGCACGCGGUCAAUUGUGGUCCAUAUUAUCAACCAGUCAUAUUGCUUUGUUUCAGCAGUUUCAUACUUGUAAGUUGCUUGAUAUUUAUGGUGGAGGUUAUCUGCUCCUUCACUGACGCUAACAAACCUCCACUUUAUGUAUCUUAACCCAACUAACUAUUGAAGUAUCUAAUUGCAUGGUCAUUCUUGUGAUAGCUUCACCUCUUCAACUUUCUACCUUUGAUGUUUGUUCUUUAUAUUAGUUUAUACAGACAUUACUCUGUUACUUUUUUUCCUGGUCCUAGUGAACGGCCAAUUAUAGUUGAGGCGAGAGUCUUAUCGGAGACCACCUCUCUACAUUCACAAAGUAGGGGUAAGGCUGCGCACACGCCACCCUCCCUAGACCCACUUGUCGGAUUACACUGGGUAUGCUGAUGGUGGUGGUGGUGAAGGGCCAAUUAGUAUUGUGUCAUUGAGUAGAAGUAUAAGGGAAAGAAUUGGAAGUUAUAUAGGAAAUUAAACAAUGAAAAUGCCUUAUUUAUAUUUGUGAUUCAACUAAAAAGUUUGACAAGUCAAUAAGGGAAUCAGAGUUUUGUUUCAAGACCGACGCACUCUUUUCAUGAUACAGUUAAGUUUGGUCAGUGUAAGAUGUUUAGUUCAUCGUUAUAGGAAUGUCUCGUUUCUUGAAAGAUAUUGCUGCCGAUCCCCUUACUUUUUAAUAUCGUCAUCAGACAAUAAGAGUUAAAUUACUGUAUAACUCUUUUGUUCUGUGUGCUUAUUUUCAUGCAAAGUGGGUCAUUUAAGGCCAUGGAAAGAGGGAAGACUUAAAUAAAUAGCUAGUCUACCAUGAAGUAGAACUGUUUCCAACCUUGCUUUGCUAAAUGUAUUUGAAAAUUGUGUAGUGUAUGUUUCCCUCUUGAUCCACUUGCAAGUUUCGACAAGUGAUAUUCACCAUCGUUGUUGAGCUGUAAUAGACUAAUAGUACAUUCAUUUUCAUUGUAUGUUUUUCAAAGCACUGGAUGUAGAUUCACUGGCACAACUCUGCUUUCAUCCUUAUAUUGACAUAGUUCGUUCACCUUCACCUUCACCUUGUUACAGGUGUGGCUACAAAUGACGGUGAGACGUCAUCUGUAGAGGAUUUAUCUGCUGCAAAAGUCGUGCAUUUGGAGGGUAAAGAAUGGGUGGAGCUUUUUGUUGGAGAGAUGAUGAAUGCGUCAAAUAUAGAUGAUGCUAAAGCCCGUGCUUCACGAACUCUUGAGAUGUUGGAGAAGUCCAUAUGUGCCCGUGCAACUGAGGAAGCCGCUGGUUUCCAGCAGGUGGUCCCUAAAUGUCUUUUAACUUUUUUUCCCCCUGCAUUAUUAACAACCCGGCAUCUCUUUUUUUUUUCCUUGCAUUAUAAACACCCUGUAAUAUAUCGUUCUUAUUUUCUUCUUUCACGUCUGCACUCACUAUGGUCAUAUAGUGGGCAGUUGCUUUUGGGGACCUUAAUAAGAGGUAGAUGAAGGGAUGCAACAAAGAACAAAUUGUAUAAAUGAGAGGAAAAAGAAAAUUAGAAUGAUAUAAAACUGGAAAGUGUGCUUUUACUGCAAUGUCAACGUGAAGUAAAAAGUCCUGAAAGGGUGAUAUGUCUAGAUCUUGAGUGAUUGUGUCUGGUUAUUGGCAGAAGCUACUAAUACUCCUUCUUGUGACCUUCUUGUGUUCCCUUCCCCUCUCGCCCCCCCUCAAUUCAAAUAAAAAACAAUGUCCGUUAGCGUUGGAGGUGUGCACUAGCAUAGUUCCUUAGGCCAGACUGAUUAUCUUGUUAUUUUGACGAAGUUUGUUUUGUCAGUUUUAAAAAUGAAUGUUGUUAAUCAAAAAGAAGAAGGUAUCCAUAUCCAUAUGGGCUUAUAGACUGGUUGUGAUACAGGAGAAUAUGAUGCUCAAGCAGCAACUUGAAGCUCUCAUACAAGAAAAUGCUAUUUUAAAGCGAGCGGUUUCCAUCCAGCAUGAGCGUCAGAAGGAAUACGAGGAUAGAGGGAACGAGUUGAAUCAGCUGAAGCAGUCGUUGGCUCAGUAUCAGGAGCAGCUUCGAACCCUUGAGGUCAGAUUUCUCUUAGAAUUGAUUAUGUUUUCGUGGUUCCUGCAACCUAAGUUGCUCGGACUCUCUAAAAAGUGUUGCCGCACCCGUGUUGGAUCCUUCAAAAAUGCACUAUUUUUGGAGGAUCUGACACGCACCCAAAGACAUUUUUGAAGAUUUCGAGCUACUUAGCCUGCAACCGAAUGACAAUAAGAUGCUUGUCUGGAUUUGUGAUUAUAGUUUUCGGCAUUUUCUUUUCUUACUGUUUUGGACCACUUCCCAUGUAUAGCAUUUUAGUGACAGUUUAGGCCUUCCUGUGUCGUCAGGUCAAUAACUACGCUCUCUCGAUGCACCUCAAGCAGGCUCAACAAAGCAACAACUCUAUUCCAGGGCGUUUCAACCCUGAUGUCUUCUAGUAUGUGUAUAAAUGUCCUUAUUGGCUGCGUAACGUAUAGGAUAGCAACAGUAUGCCCUAUUACCCAGUGUCUUUAAACUAGAACUUAUGUCUUUCGAUUAUAAGUGCCCUGCAGCAGUUAUUAGCCAAAGGGUACUUUGUACUGUUCAUACAAGUUUUUAUUUGCUUUUCUGUUGUUGUUUAAGUUGGAGUAUCGAAGUUCAUAUAGUUUGGUUCUUCUAAUGUUAAGAAAAUAUUCAACACAUGAUUGCGAUGCUUUAUUAUUUCGUUUGAUUCGAUUUCUGUUCCAUUUAAUAUCUUUAGAUUCUCAUGUGUAUAUGAUAUAUCGCGUAAAUAAACACGAUUCUAUCGGAAAUUUUCUCAAUCUUUGAUAAUGACGUUACAACGAUUAGAUACCGACUGAAAAUCUCAUGAAACUGGCAAGUUUCAAGAUCUUGUUACUCUAAACAACAACUUUCCCAGUGUUUGGGGAGGGUUGGAUGUAUGUGAACCUUACCCCUUCCUUUGUGGGGGUAAGAAAACUGUUUACGAUAGAUCUCAAGCUCAAAAGAGAUCUUGAUACUCUAGGGGUCGUUUGGUUGGAGAGAUAAGGAUAACUAAUUCCGGGAUUUAUUUAGAAGAGGAGCUUAUCCUGAAGGGGAGCCUUGGAGUAACUGAUAAAGUUGUUGUCAUGUGAUCAGGAGGUCACGGGUUCAAGCCUUGGAAAUAGCCGCUGGCAGAAAUGCAAGGUAAGGCUGCGUACGAUACACCUUUGUGGUGGGGCCCUUCCCCGGACGCCGCGCAUAGCGAUAGCUUUAGUGCACCAGGCUGCCCUUGGGAGCUUAUCCUAUGUUUGGUUGGAACAAAAUGCAUGGGAUUAUUAAUCCCGGGAUAACUUGUUUUCCGACCAAACGACCCCUUAUGAAUGAAUGCUAGUGUAUCAUAAUCUCUUGGCUCUUAGUUGUAUUUGGAAUUUAUAUAGCAUAGGGAUAUAAGUAUACAUAAAAUUCUCAAUGGAACUUCUUGUACUGAAAGCCACACAUUAGAUUAAUAUUUACUGUGAACAUAACCAAGCUAACUGUGAUAUCUGUACCCUUUCCCUGCACAUUCAUCUGGGGGGGAACUAGACAAAAACCGCGGGUUUAGCUCAAUUCGCGAAGGUUGAGAGACUUGUGUCUUAAGGCACACAAAUUCGAGUCCUGCAUCAAGCGACUUAAGUUCAGUAUUUAAGUAGAGAAGGAUAGAGAGAUUUCUCGAUCAUUAAAAAAAAAAAAAACAAGAGAGAGAUUACAAAACACUUCAAUUCUUUAAGAAAAUGGAAUAAGAGUUCCACAAGCUUUCAUCAUCUUCUUGAACUCAUCAAAAUUCACCAUUCCAUCUCCAUCAACAUCAACUUUCUUUAUCAUCUCUUUACAAUAAUCCAAUUUUUUCCCCUCUUUCAUACCUAAAGUUGAUAGUAUCUUACUCAACUCUUCUUUUGAUAUUAAUCCAUCUUUAUCAUGAUCAAAAACAUCAAAAGCAUCCUUAAGAUCUUUCUCUCUAUUAGCUACUUCUUCUUCAUUCAUUUCACUUUCAUUACUCACUUCCUCUAUUCCCAAGUAUGUAUGACAAAGAUCACAAAACUCAUCAAGAUCAAUUAAACCAUCUUUAUUUGAAUCAACUUUCUCAACCAUUUCAACAAUAUCUUUGUCCUCCAUGAAAAUUCCAAUGUUCUUGAGAGAUAACUUCAAUUCUUGUUUUGUUAUGUAACCAUCAUUGUUCUUGUCAAAAGUUGCAAAAAUACUCCUUAGUUCAACCUUGUUGUAGUUGUUAGACCUAUUCAUCACCUUCUUAUCAACCAUGGUUAUUGAAGGUGAGGGUGUUAUUAUGGUCUUUUCUUGGAGAGAUGGAGAUUUUAGUGAAAUUUUUUGAAUCAAAGAUUGGAACUUGUUAGUUGGGAAAUUGAAAAAUGUUGUAAUAAGGCCAAUAAUGAAGAGAAAUGCUAAGAAAAGAAUGGUUAAUAGUGUAAACAUGUUUGUUUUGCUUUGUGGUUCUUGAAGUUGAAUGGGAAUAGGAAGAAGAAAUGAUCAAAGAGGAGAAUAUUAAGGUGAUAUUGGUGGAAUAUUGAAGCUUUAAAUGAAAAGAAACGAAGUGUCAAUGGGUUGUGAAGAUGAAGAUGCCCUUUGUCAAAAGUAAUUGGAGAACUAUUGAUAAAGAUUUAUGGUGGGUACCAUAUGUGGUGCAGUGAAUGAGGCUGCUCCUCUCUCAACCCUAGACGUCUCAGAUUCGAGCCCUGGGUAUGGGAGAAUCCUUGGUAGGGGUCCUACCCGACGUGAAUUCGGAUCAGUCGGGCUUCAAUGCGGGUUUCAGACACCAGAUGGGAAAUUUAAAAAAAAAAGUUUAUGAUGGGGUACAUAGGACAAUGAAAGAAGAAACCCAAAUUUGUCUUGUGAGUGUGAGAUAGGCAGAUAAGGAGUAUGCAGUCGAAUAACUAUUAUAGUUUUUAGUUGUGAUAAAUGAACUAAUUAGAUGGGCUGUUUCAAAUCUGGAGCUGACAUUUAAAUUGGAAAUCAAUAUCAUGCCCUGACUAUUCAAAAAAUACAGAUCGAAGCGAAAGAUCAUAAAAUGCAACAUAAUAAGGAGGUCAUUAGUCUGUAGCUUUCGCGAAGAAAGAAGCUAAUUAAUCAGAAUUGAGACAGGAAGAAGAGGCUAAAGAUUCAUUUGAUCUAAUUAAUCCUUUUACUUAAUUAGCAUAUAUAUAAAUUAGAUUAAUCUUGAUUGUAUUUAAAUUUUGAAUGCUAAUUUGAAUAGUAAGUAGAAUAUGAAAUAUGUAAUAUUUACAAUAUUUUCUUAAUUACAAAUUAAAAAAGUAAAGCAACUUUUGUUAGUGAAUGAUUAAUAGGCACAUUGUAGUCCCAUUUUUGUCCCCUAUUUUCUUUAAUCAUUGGUUUCUUUCUCUCUUUUUUCUUUAAUCAACUUUUUAAAGCUAUUCUCAUGUACGAAAUAUUUCGCGUUUAUGUUGGACAUGAGAAAAAAUAUACCCUAAAAUAUGACAUAAGUAGUCUUUUCCGAUGUAAAUAUCAGUAAUUAGUUUCACGGCUUGAACCCGUGCAAUAAAAAAAUUCAUAGUUCAAUUUUACCAAACAAUAAAAAGUUCUCUUAGUGACUUUAUUAAAGCAUUAUAUACUUUGCUUUGCUUUGCCUUCACCCAUAGUUAUAUUCAUUUGAUUUGGAUUCUUCACUCAACCCCCCCUACCCACACACACACGUUUACCCCCCAACCACCACACCCCACACAUAGAGGCGGAGUCGGGAUUUCAACUAAGGAGGUUCAAUAUUUGAAGAAAAUUUAACGGAAGGGGGUUUGACACCAACUUUAGAUACAUAAAACAUAAUAUUAAUCAUGUAUAUUGAUAUAUUUUUCCAUCGAAGACGGUUCGGAUGAAUCCCUAGCCAAAGACUCGCUCCGCCCCUGAGUCACACAAAACAAAAUGGAAUAUUUAGAUUCUUCUAAUUAUCUACACUAUCAUAGCAAAUUAGCCUACUAUAGCUCAUGUAACUGAAAAAUAGUCAUUGUUAUGAAUUUUCAAAUUCAAUUCGUGAAAUUUCAGGAUUUUAUCAUAUAGUUUUAAUUUCGUACGUAGAAUUUGAAACUCCAAAAUAAAUAGCUAUUUUUUAAAUAUAUAUAGUCGAAAAGUGAUCAAUGAGUGCUAUCUUUGUAAUUUUUCUAAGGGGAAAACCUCUUAGCCCAACACUAAUUAACAUAGCCCAAUACUUAUCUUUAGUCCAAUUAUUUUUUUUUUCAUCAGCCCAAAUGCUUAACUUAUAGUCCAAUCACAAAUUAUGCAUGUGUAAGUGAACUCAAAAUAUAUGGUUAUCGAGGAUUUCUAGAGCAUGGGUGCACUGUUAUAACACUAUCAUAAAUGAUCUAUGAAGGGAGCAUGAGUUCACGUGAAUCUGGUGACCUCUACCUAGAUACGCUCCUGAACGGACGCAAAAGGACUAGAUGAUUUUCUUUUGAGUUGUCCAAAUCGUAAUAGAUAGUUAUUCAGUAUGUGUAUUCAUGAAAGGUAGCAGAUACUUUGUCGAGUUAGUUGAGACUCAAUUUUAUUAGUCCGAACACCACGAUUAUAAAGAAAGAGAAAUUAUAACUUGUUAAGGUGGCUUCACCAUGUUAACUGGUGUUUCCAAAUGCCAAUUAUAUAAUUAUGGCAUGGAGAAGUGAUUGAUAUAAAUAAAGCUAGGUAUAUUUUUAAUUCAAAUUAUUCACAAUGUCUAAAUUUUAGAUUCACAAGAUGGAUAAAAAAAAUAUAAUUGUGUAAUCAGUCAUUAAUGCUUGUAUUGGUGUGGACUAUCUACAUCACAUUCUUUGAGUGUCGUUUAUUUGUUUUUUUGAAUCCUGCAUGAAUGUUAAAUACCUUGUGCACCAGACUGCCUCUUUAACUGCAUAAAAAAUAGAGUUGCGAAAACAACUGUUAAUACUCGCAUUAGGGUAGACUGAUAACAUGAUCACAUUCUUUAAGAUGUGCGGCCCUUUCUUGAACCUUGUGUGAGCGCGGAAUGGUUUGUACUCUAGGUUGUACCUUUGAACAGGCCGGAACGUAACUAGCAUACAACGAGGGAGUUCAUAACCCCUUUUAGCGAAAAAUCAAACUAUUUAUAUAAGGUUAAAAUUAUUGUUUUUUUUAUAUAUAUAGUAGAUGUUGAACUCCCUUCGACUAGUUCAUGCGUGCAAUUUUGAAUUCUCUCAAUGAAAAUUCUAACUCCGCUACUGUCUCUUUAACUGCAUUAAAAAAACAAAGUUGUAAAAACGAUCAUUAAUACUUGCAUUAAGGUAGACUGACAACAAAGGCGGAGUCAGUAUUUCAAUGAAGGGGGUUCCAUAUUCAAAGAAAACUUAGGAUUUCAACUAAGGGGGUUCCAUAGUCAAAGAAAACUUAGUCGAAGGGGGUUCAACACCUACUAUAACUACAUAAAAAAUAAUUUUAAUCAUGUAUAAAUAAUAUAUUUUUCCGUUGAAGGGGGCUCGGUCGAACCCCCGAAUAGAAGGCUGGCUCCGCCCCUGACUGACAACAUGAUCACAUCCUUUAAGAUGCGCGACCCUUCCUUGAACCUUGUGUGUACUCUAGAUUGUACUUUUUAACAGGGACGGAGCUAGCAUAGAAUGAGGAGUUAGCUCUACUACUGCCUCUUUAUCUGCAUAAAAAAAUAAAGCUGUGAAAACGACUAUUAAUACUUGCAUCAGGUUAGACUGACAACGUGAUCACUUCCUUUAAGAUGCACGAUCCUUUCUUGAACCUUGUGUGAGCGCGAAAUGGUUUGUACUCUAGGUUGUACCUUUCAACAGGGGCGAAGCUAGCAUACAAUGAGGGGGUUAAUAUAACCCCCUUCGACGGAAAAUUACUGAUUAAUAUUAUUUCUUAUGUAUAUAUAAUAGAUCACAUCCUUUAAGAUGCACGACCCUUUCUUGAACCUUGUGUGAGCGCAAAAUGGUUUGUACUCUAGAUUGUACCUUUUAACAGGGAUGGAUCUAGCAUACAAUGAGGGAGUUCAUAACCCUCUUCGACAAAAAAUUACACUAUAUGAUUAAAAUUAUUUUUUAUGAUUAUAUAGUAGAUCAGGAGUAACUGGUAAAGUUGCUGCCAUGUGAUUAGGAGGUCACGGGUUCAAGCCUUGGAAACAGCCUCUGGCAGAAAUGCAAGGUAAGACUGCGUACGAUACACCCUUGUGGUGGGGCCCUUCCCCGAACACCGCGCAUAGCGGUAGGUUUAGUGCACCGGGCUGCCCUUUUCUAGGUGUAUUUAGAUUAUUUAUACAUUACCCUAUUUAGACAUGGUUAAAAUUAUUUUUUAUGCAUAUAUAACAGAUGUUGAACUCCCUUCGACUAAUUCGUCUGUACACUUUGAACCCUCUCAAUCAAAAUUCUGACUCCGCUACUGCUUUUUAACUGUCUAAAAAACAGGAGGAGUUUGGGUGGGGGUGGAGGGGAGAGAUCGUUAGUAGUUAAUUUUUACAGCUAUUACACUAUUUAUACAUGGUUAAAAUUAUUUUUAUGCAAAUAUAACAAAUGCUAAACUCCCUUCGACUAGUUCGUCUGUACACUUUUAAAUCUUCUCAAUCAAAAUCCUGACUCUGCUACUACUUUUUAACUGCAUAAAACAUAGGAGGGGUGGGGUGGGGUGAUGGGGUACUGGGUGUGGGGUAGUUAGUAGCUGGUUUUUGCAGAGCACACGUGAAUUUACUUACACUGAGAAUUGCAGAGAAAAAACAUAUGCAUGCAGUCAUUCCCACUAAGUACUUGCUUAUGUACUCCUCUUACCUUUUGGGACUUUUGCAGUCCAAACCUAAUCUAAUAUUUUCCUGUCUUAUUCAGAAUUUAAACUUUAUAAAUUUUAUUAUAAAAUUUUAUCGACACAUCAUACUUGUAUAUGGUCGGGCCGGGGGUCUAUCGAAAACAGCGUCUCUACUUCAUCUAAGAUAGUGGUAUGAUCUGCGUACACUCUACCAACAGCCUAAUCUAAUAUUUUCCCUUUCUUAUUUAGAAUUUAAACUAUAUGAAUUUUAUUAUAAAAUUUUAUCAACGCAUCAUACUUGCAUAUGGUCGGGUCGGGGGUUUAUCGGAAACAACCUCUCUACUUUACCUAAGGUAGUGGUAUGAUCUGGUACACUCUACCAACAACCUAAUCUAAUAUUUUUCUGUCUUAUUCAGAAUUAAACUUUAUGAAUUUUAUUAUAAAAUUUUAUCAACGCAUCAUACUUGCAUAUGGUCGGGCCAGGGGUUUAUCGGAAACAGCUCUCUACUUCACCUAAGGUAGCGCUAUGGUUUGCGUACACUUUACCCUCCCCAGACCCCACUAUGUAGAAAUACGUUGAGUAUGUUGUUGUUGUUGUCGUCAUACUUGCAUAUGUAUCUCGUUUAGCUUUUUGAGGCGGAAUAUUAGCUACCACUAUCGUAUAGAAAUUGAAGCGGAGUCUCAGAGUAACUGAUAAAGUUGAGUAACUGAUAAAGUUACUGUUAUGCAUGUGACCUGGAGGUUACGGGUUCAAGCCUUGGAAACAGCUUCUGGCAGAAAUGCAAGGUAAAGCUGCGUACAAUACACCCUUGAGGUGGGGCCCUUCUUCGGACCCUGUGCAUAGCGGAAACUUUAGUGCACCGGGCUACCCUUUUAUUAUCGUAUAGAAAUAGCGGUCGCUGGUCAUUUUUUCAGUUAUGUAUCUGAAAACAAUUAUUAUCUUGAAAUUUCAAACACAAACACGAAAUUCAAUGAUGAUUUUAUUUUAAAUUUUAUCGAUGCAUCGUACUUGCAUAUGUAUCUCGUUUGGUAUAGCUUUUCGAGCCGCAACAUUAGCUACCAUUAUCGUAUAGAAAUAGCGAUCAGUAAUUAUUUUUUUAGUUAUGUAUCUGAAAACAAUCAUUAUCGUGAAAUUUCAAAUACAAACGCGAAAUCUAAUGAUGAUUUUAUUUUAAAUUUUAUCGAUGUGUCAUACUUGCAUAUGUAUCUCGCAUUAGGAUAAGUUACAGUACAUUUCUCCAAACCCCGCCGUUUAAAUGAUGUAUAGAUUGUUUACGUCAUACCUUUUGGUGUGAAGCUCAUUUCCGAACCUUAAGUGAAUGUAAAAUAUUUUGUACACUGAUUGCGAAAAUAUUUACAAGCUUCAACUUGCAAUGGACACAAACAAAAAACAAGCUGUAUAAUUAUCAAUGUGGACCUAAUAUUAUCUGGCUAAUAUAUAGUGACCAAUAGCAAUAUUAUUCUUAUUCUACAAGGUGCUAUAUAUAUAUAAUCUUUUCUUCUUUAUUUAAUUUUUCACAAAAAUUAUUAACAACAAAAAUUAUUCCUUUAUUUAUAUAUAAGAUAUUACGAUAGAAAUAACGUUCAAUAAUUACUUUUUGCGUCAUAUCUUUUUUAAAUAGACGUUAUUACAGAGUUUUAAAUUUUUACGAUAAAAAUUUCAUAGUAAUAUCCUGAAAUUAUAUGUGAAAUUUAAAACUUCAGGAUAGUAGCUAUUUUUUAAAUUACAUCAAGAUAAUAUUUAUUAGUAAAUUUAUGGUACAUAAGAAAAUAAAAUUAUUUGAGGGACCAUAAAAAACCCCAUACUUAAUUUUGUUCCAAAUAAAAUCAUGCCUACAUGGUAACAUGUGAUGGGAAUGGGAUGCCCUUAUUUUCUUUUCUUUUUUUAUGAUUAUUUUGGUUUAAUAAUUUAAAUAUUUUUUCAAAACUAUAUACUAUAUCAUUUUUUGUAUUUUAAUAAAAAAAAUGAUAUAAAUAUUUUUGUUUUUAUUCAAGAUUUACUACCCCAUCUAAUGUUGGCUCCUUUGCCCCACUAUGCACUCACCAUUUAUAGCAAUGUAGGCAUUAUGUGGGCAAAGUUAAACCUAUCAUGAUAAUGUUCGAGUCAGUUUUCGUGUAAUUUUAAAUUAUUUUAUCAAAUAUAUAUUACCGACCAUCUUCACAAAUAUCGAAAUUAUAUUUAAUGAAGCGAAAAUAUGCAUUAAUUAACCAUAGUUAAUUGAAAAUAACGUCUGUAUACAAACAUGUUGCGAGGUGUAUAUUGAUGUGAUGUUAACAUCGCGGGUAUAACAUCUAUAUACAAACACGUGCUAAGUAUAUACUGGUCUGACGUUAACAUCUCGAGUAAACAUUUAUACGUAUACAUGUGCUGAGUAUAUAUUGGUUUCACGUUAACAUCACGAGCAGAUGUGUAUAUACGUACACGUGGUAAGUAUAUAUCGGUCUCACGUUAACGCUGCAGGUAAACAUCUAUAUACAAACACGUGCUAAGUAUAUAAUCUUUUGACGUUAACGUCGAGUAAACAACUAUAUAUACAAACAAACACGUGCAAAGUAUAUAGUAGUCUGAUGUAAACACCACAAGUAAAUGUCUAGAUACACAAACACGUGCAAAGUAUAUAUGGGUCUGAUGUUAACACUGCGGGUAAACAUCUAUACACAAACACGUGCUAAGUAUAUAUUCUUUUGACGUUAAAACCAAGUAAACUUCUAUAUAUACAAACACGUACAAAGUAAAUACUGGUCUGACGUUAACACCGCGAGUAAAUGUCUAUAUACAGACACGUGCUAAGUAUAUAUUCUUUUGACGUUAAAACCAAGUAAACGUCUAUAUAUACAAACACGUGCAAAGUAAAUACUGGUCUGACGUUAACAUCGCGAGUAAAUGUCUACAUUCAGACACCUGCAAGUAUAUAUUGAUCAGAUGUUAACACCACAAGUAAAUGUCUGUAUACAGACACAUGCUAAGUAUCUAUUAGUCUGACGUUAACAUCGUGAGUAAAUAUCUACAUACAGACACGUACUACGUAUAUAUUGAUCUGACGUUAACACCACAAGUAAAUGUCUCCAUACAGACACGUACUAAGUAUAUAUUGGUCUGACAUUAACAUCACGGGUAAAUGUCUAUAUACAAACACGUACUAUAAGUAUAUAUUGGUUGGACGUUAACACCAAAUAAACGUCUAUAUUUACAAACACGUGCAAAGUAAAUGCUAGUCUAAUGUUAACACCGCAAGUAAAUGUCUGUAUACAGACACGUACUAAGUAUAUAUUAGUCUGGCGUUAACAUCGCGAGUAAAUGUCUACAUACAGACACGUACUAAAUAUAUAAAGAUCUGAUGUUAACACCGCAAGUAAAUAUCUAUAUACAGACACGUACUAAUUAUAUAUUGGUCUGACGUUAACAUCGCAAGUAAAUGUUUAUAAACAGACACGUACUAAGUAUAUACUGAUCUGACGUUAAAACCGCAAGUAAAUGCCUACAUACAGACACGUGUUGAGUAUAUAUUGAUCUGACGUUAACAUCGCGAGUAAAUUUUUAUCCUUUAUUGACCAAUAUGCCCUCCUUCCCCUCUAUAAAGUUGGUUUAAUCAUAGACAACACACUAUAUGCUAUUGUGGUCCAUACUAAAAACACUUUCUCUCUCUUUUCUCUCUCUUCAUUCCUCUUGAAGAUUAUUUUACUAUAGUUUAAUAUAUAAUAUAAAGUCCUAUCAUUCUUUUCCACAGCUUUCUUGAACUAUUUUAUGCUGGAUUAUCAUCUUUGGUAAUUAUUAGGUUACUGCCAGAAAAUCGCUAAUUUGUUUACAGACGUCUGGAUAGAAUUUAGCUCGCGUGUGUCACUAACGAGCCAAAUUCUGAUGGAUUUAUUUGGAAAUUAGCGAUUUUCUAAUAGUGCGAUGAGAUUAAGCUAUGAAAGUUCAAGAAAGUUGUGGGAAAACAUGGUGAAUUUAGGACUUUUCUUGAGUGAAAUUGCUAUUUUUAUGGAGGAUGUUUGGUUCAACAUUUUGCUAUAUUGGACAUAUAGCCCAUGGUAAAUUCUUGAAAUUGACUUUUACAUUUUUUAAUUAUUAUUGUAUAUAUACUUGUAAUUAUUUGGUUUAAUCCAAGAAAAUUCUGUACAUGUUACACCUUUUACUUUUUUGUUAUAUUAAGAGCAAAGCAUCUAGGAGCUUCUUGAAUUAUGACUGAAUUUGCUACGACACACUGGAGUUAGUUUUACGGGGAUUCUAUUAUCCCUCUGAACCAAAUUUUAGCAUAUUUUUGUUAUUCUUUUUAGCUGAUGUGACACCUUUUGUCAUCCUUUUUAGCUGACAUGGAACCUUUAACGUGGACCCCAUUUUAUGUAAUAAAGGUGUCACCAGCAUAAAAGAGUGACAAAAAUACGCUAAAAUUGAGUUUAGGGGGGGGGGAGGGGGUAAUAUAGGACCAUUGUGAAAUUAGAGUAUGUCAUAGCAACUUUGGCCAUAAUUCGGGGAGGUACUGGAUGCUUAUAUCAAACAUUUUGAGAAUUAUAGUUUUUGAAUUCUUUUUCAUAUUUUCCCUUUCUAUAUUAUUGGCUUCUUCUACAUAUUUUUAUUUCAGAAAGUAGAUCUCAUGUGUGGAAUUUUUGAAUUUAUUUCCUUUUGGUUUAAGAGUUUUAAUUUUUCUUCAAUGGAAUGAAGUAUUGAUUAUUUACCAUAUUAUGUGGGAAUUUAUGAAUUCUAGAUUUUGAAUUAAAGCAAGGUAAUUAUAUCAUUUUUUUUCAUUCAUUAAUUGUAUAAAAAAUAUUUUACAUUCUUUUAUUUGAUUAACCAUCUCUCAUGAACUUCAUUCAUAGUAGUUUAACUUAUGAUAGCAAGUCAACUAUCAAUUUUAUCUUCUUAAUUAUAGUAUUUAUUAUAAAAACCUGCUUAGUAUAAAACUUUCUUGAAAGUGAUCUGUAUAUAAAAAAUAAUUUAUGUGAAAAACUUAAAUCUUAUUGAUUUGAUUUUUAUGAAUUUUGAGUAAAAUAAAUAUUCAGAAUGGUGAAAAAUUAAUAAGAUAAUAAGUGGCAGGUAAGAUUGCUUAUCUUUCUUUCGAUAUUUCGAUGCACAAAAUAUUCCACAUUUAUAUAUCAUCUUGUGAAAGAUAAUAAGUGGUUGAUAGGAUUCAUUGUCUUCCUUUGAAUAUUCCGAUGCACAAAGCAUCUGACAUUCAUAUAUGAUCCAGUAAAGAUCGCACUCGAGAGAUGUGAAAAAUGAGAUAAAUAAGUGGCAAAUAAUAUAAGAUUCUUGAUCUUUAAUUUUUUUUGAAUAUUCCAAUGCACAAAGCAUUCGGUAUUCACAUAUGAUCCAAGAAAGAUAAUAAGUGGCAGAUAAAAUUCUCGAUCUUUAAAUUUUUUUGAAUAUUUCGAUGCACAAAGCAUCCGACAUUCACAUAUGAUCCAGUAAAGAUCGCACUCGAGAAAUGUGAAAAAUGAGAUAAUACGUGACAAAAAAGAUUCCUGAUCUUUAUUUUUUUUGGAAUAUUUCAAUGCACAAAGCAUUCGGUAUUCACAUAUGAUCCAAGAAAGAUAAUAAGUGACAGAUAAAAUUCUCGAUCUUUAUUUUUUUUUUUUGAAUAUUUCGAUAUUCAAAUAUUCGAUAUUUAUAUAUGGUUCGGAGAAAGAUCGCAUCACAUAAAAAAUGAGAUAAUAAAUUUGCAGAGAAUAUUCCCUAGCUUUCCCUUUAUUACUAUCAAUAAUUGAUAUUGUUUAUAUCAUUUAUUUCCAUGUAAAAGGUUAAUUUUUGUUACUAUCUGAAAAAAAAAAAAAAAUUAUUUACCCUACUUGUGAAUUUACAUCGUAACUAUAGUUUAUAACAACUUUUUAUGGUUUUAUAAACCAUUAUUUAUAAAUGCAAUUUUAUAUUCAAUAUUCUAUGAAAAAUAAUAUAAGUUACUAUUAUAAUGAAAGUGGUAACUAACAUGUUACCGUAGGUAGAGGCAGAGUCAGAAUUUCAUCUAAGGAGGUUCAAUAAUUAAAGAAAAACUAGUUGAAGGGGAUUCAACGUCUAUUAUAUAUACAUUAAAAAAAAAAAAAAUUUAGUCAUGUAUGAACAAUAUAUUUUUUUUGUCAAAAGAAUUUUGGAUGAACCCCUAGCCAAAGGAUAGCUCCGCCCUUGAUCGUAGGCACUGGCAGAGUUCAAAUUUUACUAACGAGAUUCAACAUAUAUCCGAACGUAAAUCCACAAAUAGAAUUUGAAAAUGAUAAAAUAUACGCAUUACGAAAGACUGUCAGUUGACUCCCUUAAAUAGAAAUGACUUUUUUUUCCACUAAUCACAUAUUAGUACCAAAAAUAUUUUAUCAUAAUAAAGUGGUUGAUAUGUUUUAAUACCUAAAGAUUUUAAUAUUUAUUCCACACCAAUAUAAUAUCAGAGUUAUUAUUUGCAAAUUAAUAGAGGAAAAUCAUUAAUUGCCAACUUGCUAGGGAAAAUAUAAUUAGUGGCAAAUAAUAAUCUUGCAGGUAGUACUUCUUAAUUUAUUAAAUGUGAUAAAAUUAUAUGUGUAGUAAUUUUACAUAAAUAAAAAUUACAAUAUUAGCUCCACAUGCAUGAUUAUUAUUCAGUAUUCGAAUUUCACUGGCUAAAUUAUUAUUUGUAUUUUUCACUUCGAUUAAGUGUGAAAGAAUCUUUGACAAUCGACCAAUCGAGGAGGCAUUACAUGUUUCAUUUCUAUUUAUUUAUAUUAUAAUGUCCUCGAAAUAUUAAAAUAUCAAAAUUAAGAAUCGAAAUGACUAAAAUAUUGUUAAAAACCCUUUCAACUCUAGAAAUUUUCUAUGAAUUGAAUGCAUGUAAUUUUGAAAAGGGAUAAUACUUACAAAAAUAGCUGAAAUUUAAUCGAAUUUUUAGUUGAGCAUACUGAACUUUGUGGGGGUCCUAUUAUCCCCCUAAAUUUUUUUUUUUCGUAUUUUAAUGGCAUAUAUCUGCCACUUGGACACGUAUAAAUAUGACACGCGCUAAUACACGUGUAAAAACGAGAUUGUCGCGCCGCUGAAACUGGGUAUAGAGGGGGCGGGGGAAUUAAAUCCACUUUAAAAAGUCUAGGAGGGUAAUAGAACCCCCGCAAAGUUCAGUAUGAGUCUAGGAGGGUAAUAGAACCCCCGCAAAGUUCAAUAUGCUCAACUGAAAAUUCGAUCAAAGUUCAGAUAUUUUUAUGAGUAUCAUCCCUUUUGAAAAUCGAAUAUAUAUAUAAAUCUAUGUGGCUCCGCGUCUGACUACUAAAUUGUCCUUAAGAAUGUAUAUAUACUUCCAAAAACAAAAUAGUAACAUUUGUCAAUCAAAGUAUAAGUAGAAAAUUGAUAAAAUAAUGAGAUUUGUCAAUCAAAGUAUAAGUAGAAAACUGAUAAAAUAAUGAGAUAAACAAUCAGUAUCUUCGAACUAUGGUUAAAGUUAUUAUGACACACUUUAAUUUUACAGGAUUUUUACUACCCUCGAAACUCAAUUUUAGCCUAUUGUGUCACCCUUUUGUGUUGACGUAGCACUUUUAUUACAUAAAAUGACGCCCACGUCAAAAGUGUCAUGUCAGCUAAAAAGGUUGACAAAAGAUGUCACGCCAAUUCAAAAGGAUGACAAAAAUACGUUAGAGUUUAGUUUUGAAGACUAAUAGAACCCCCGUAAAGUUCAAGUGUAUUGUAACAUAUUCAAUCAUAAUUCAGGGAUACUAGAUACUUCCUCCGUCCCAAAUUAUCCGUCUCAAAUUGAGAUGGCACAAUAACUAAGAAAAAUAAUUAAUAACAUGCCUAGUUUAACAUAGUACCCCUAUUAAAUGAUGUUUACAUUUAAUUUGAAGAAAAAAUAAUUAAUGCAAAGCGUAAAACAUGAAAAAAAAUUUCUCUUCUUGAUUAAUGAAAAAAGACAAGUAAAAUAAGAAAUCAAAUUAGGAAAUUUGGCACGGAGGGAGUACUUUACUCUAAACUAAUUGAAUAGAUGUAAUGCUUUGGAAUUCAAAGAAACAAACCAUGCACAAAUUUUUUAAAUAUGGUCAAAUUUGUUUCCCCAUAAAAAUCAUAUCCCAAUAAAUUUUCCAAAAUGUCAACAUGAAUAUCCACUUUUCCUGCAUUUAAAACAGCAAAUAUUCAGGCAUGCAUGAAUAUAUAUAUAUAUAUAUAUAUAUAUAUAUAUAUAUAUAUAAAUCAUUUACUUCCAGAAAAUAGGAGAAAGAAAAUAACUACGUUUAUCGAUUGGACAAGUAGCAAAUAUUCGAUGAAAUAAUUGAUUUAUUCAAUUGAUACAAUCCUUAAUAAGAGGUUUUGAGCUCUAGAAAUCGACAAAAUCAUAAUAGUAAAGAUGAAAAAAUAGUCACUUUCUCGACUUAAUUAUGAUUGAAAAAUAGCUGAGUAAAGCAACUAGUACCUCCCUGAACUAUGACCAAAUUUGCUACGACACGCUCUAACUUCACAGGGGUCCUAUUACCCCCAUGGACUAAAUUUUAGCAUAUUUUUUUUAAUUUUUUUAGAUGACGUGACACCUUUGACGUGGAUCCUAUUUUAUAUAAUAAAGGUGUCACGUUAGCACAAAAGGAUGUCAAAAAUACGCUAAAAUUGAGUUCGGGAGUUAACAGGACUUUUGUAAAGUUGGAGUGUGUCGUAGUAACUUCGGUCAUAGUUCAAGGGUACGUACUAGAUGCUUAUCUCAAAAUAGCUAGAUUCAAACGUCAUUAAUAAAAUAGCCAAUUUUCGAAAUCGGCUACAGUAUCCUAGAUUUUUCACUUGUUUAAGUUCGAAAUUUUCAUGAUACCGACAUAAUGUUUAAUCAGUGAAUUCUGAAUACCAAAUAAAUUAUUUAUAAAAAAAAAAAAAAAACUUAUUUUUACUUUUGUGUGUGGGAUCUUUUCAUUGACAACUAAGACAGCCAAAUCAACACAAGAUUAUUAUGUUUGAUAAUUAUUUUCUUUAUCUUUCAAUGCUUUAAUUUCUUCCAAUUUUUUCCAAUUAAAUAAUCAAAAGAAAAAUAAAAGGUGUCUAAUCUUAACUUUUUAAUUCAAUCCUGUCUUUUUUUUGGGCCAAAAGUUAAAUAACAUUUGCCUAUGAUAAAACAAAAUUCUAACUUUUUUAACUAUUAGUAAUUAUUAUUAGCUAAGUCCAAAUAUAAAAUUGCAUGUUGCAUCCCAAUAUGUUUAACUUUAAACCAACAGUGUCAGUGGGAAAUUUUUUUUUUAAAAAAACUUGACCUCUAAAGUAAAAGCAAAUAAAGCAAUUUAUAUUUAAAACAUUUAACUUUAGUACUAAGUAUUAAUAAAAGCAAAUAAAGCAAUUUAUAUUUAAAACAUUUAACUUUAGUACUAAGUAUUAGUGUGGAUUUGGACAUACAAACAACAACAACAUACCCAAUAUAGUCUCACGAAAUGGGGCCUAAGAAAGAUAAAGUAUACAACGGAGCCAAGAUUUCAACUCAGAGGAUUCAAUAUUUGAAGAAAACUUAGUCGAAGGAGGUUCACGUACUAUAGAUACAUAAAAAAUAAUUUUAAUAAUGUAUAAAUGGUAUAAUUUUUCGUCGAAGGAGAUUCGGAUGAACCCCUGCAUGCCAAAGGGCUAGCUCCGCUCCUAGCUAGUGUACAUGAACUGUACCUUUAUAUCAGAGGUGAGGUAGAGACGCUAUUAACGAUAGACACCCGGUUCAAGACAAAGACAGUCUAAAAAAAUGUUAUGAACAAAAGAUAGUAACGAAAACAACAGAUAGUGUAGCUGAAUAUUACUAUAAUCAAAUAACUCUUGAAUCCGUCCAUAGCCAACAUUUCACACCUCCGCAAUGACCCAUUCAUGCAUCUCCUCAUAACAAGCCUAAACCAUCUCAACCUCGCUUCCCGUAUCUUGUCUUCCACUGAAGUCACUAUUUUGGACGUAAAAAUUGUGAAAUUCGAAAAAAAAAAGUAGUAUUUGAUCUCAAGUUGAAAAUGGAAGAUUAUUUGAAAAUCGAAAUUGUGUUUGGAUAUGAAUACAAACUGAAGUUAUUUUAAAUUUUAUGUAAGUAAUUUGGGGUGAAAAUUGUGAAAACAGUAUUUUCGUGUUCUUUUUAUUCCAAAAAAUUAUAACAAUUCUAUAUCAAAAUAGUUUUUUCAGAAUAAUAUUUCAGAAAAAAGUGAAAAAAUAUUCAUGACCUAAUGGGCAAUUAGCAUCCAAGAAUGUGAAAUCAAAAAAAAAAUAAAAAAUCUCACUAAGUAUUGUUUUAAACUUUUAAUUAGAAUAAUUGUCAAGGAGUCAGCUUCUGCAAUAACAGCUAAUAUAAUUAAAAUGAAAUAAAUUCACUAUAUUUAUAUUGAAUACUUUACAUGCAUGUACCUGCAAAGGACAAUAUAUAAUUGGACUAAAUUUUAUUAUACAUUAGUACAUAUAAAUAAUUAAUAACUUUUUUCCAGUACAAAUCUGUCAUGACCUGGCACAGAUCAUAAUGAAUAAUCAAGCAAAUAUGUAAUUAAGUUUAUCUUCUAUACACUCAUAAUGAAUAAUAUAAUUUUUUCCAUCACCAAUUAUAGGGCUUGUUUGGUAAAAGAGAUAAAAGAGAUAACUAAUCUCGAGAUUAAUUUUAAGAUGCGAUUAUCCUAUGUUUGGUUGAAAAAAAUGCACGGAUAACUCAUUGUGGAAUUAGUUAUCUCAAGAUUGUAGUGUUAUUUUUAACGAUGGGAUAACUAACUAGAAUAACUAAUCUCAAAACAAUUAAUUCCAGGAUAACUUAUUUCCCAGCCAAACGACCCUUAAGUAAAUGAAACCACUGCUUUCCUAUUAGUUGUCAUGUUUAUUCAUUGUCGUUUUUUCCUUUUCGUUACUACUUUAAUUUGUUUCAUUUGAGUCGAGAGUCUUUUCAAAACAGUUUCCCUACGUACCUUCAAAUGGUAGGGGUAAGAUAAGAUCUGCAUACACCUAUAUAUAUAUAUAAAAAGAAACAAUUUUUCUUUAUGUCAUACAAAGAAGAAGUAAAAGUGGGAUCUGAUCAUAUAAAAUUAAAGCAAGAAAAAGAUUAUAUACUAUAUAUAUGUUUUUUUUGUUUUUUGUUUUUCAUCCGGUGUCCGGUACCUGCAUUGGAAACCGACUAAUUCGAAUUCGCGCCGGGUAGGGCUCCAUUUGGGGUAGUGCUCCCAACAGAGUUUUUCUCCAUGCCCAAGGUCGAAUCCUCAACCUCUGGUUAAGGGUGGAGCAGCCCCAUCCGCUGCACCACAACCCAUGUUGGUUACUAUAUAUAUGUUCAUCUACUUUCAACAUGGUUGUAUUUGAUAUUAAUAUGGAGAGAGCAUACAUAAUAUUUUUCUCUUGAAGUGAUUUAUUAAUGCUGCAAUAUUUAUAACUUCUCUUUCUGCAAAUUUUAAAGUUGUAGUGGUUAAAAUGGCUGGCAAAUUAGCUAUGGCCUGACAUAAUGAAAUACCUUACCUAAUUUAAAUAAAUACCUUUAAUAAAAUUUAUGUAGACAUAGUUGGGAAGGCUCCAUAUGAGAAGGAAAUGACAAGAUUGUGGUCCAUAUUAAAUUCCAACAAAAUGGAAAUUUUCAUAAUUGCUAUGAAGUAAAAUGGUGCUCAUGCAUUAUUUCUUUUGAGUGUAUAGUAUAUCGGAAACAACCUUUCUACUUCAUCUGAGAUAGUGGUAGGACUGCAUACAUUUUAUCCUUCUCAGACUUCACUUUAUGGGAAUACACUGGGUAUAUUAUUGCUGCUGUUGUUGUUAUUAAGUCAAUAGUCUAUCGGAAACAGCCUCUAACGGUAUGAACUGUGUACACUUUACCCUCUCCAGAUUCCACUUUAUAGGAAUAUAUUGGGUAUGUUGUUGUUGUUGUUGAGUUGAUAGUCUAUCGAAAACAACUUCUUUACUUUAUUUGAAGUAGUGGUGUGGACUGCGUACACUUUACCCUCUCCAGACUCCAUUUUAUGGGAAUACACUGGGUAUAUUGUUGUUGUUGUUGAGUCAAUAGUUUAUCGAAAACAACUUCUUUACUUCAUCUGAAGUAGUGGUAUGGACUGUGUGCACUUUAUCCUCCUCAGACCCCACUUUAUAGGAAUACACUAGGUAUGUUGUUGUUACUAUUGUUGUUGUUGAGUCGAUAGUCUAUCAGAAACAGUCUCUCUACUUCAUCUGGAGUAGUGUGGUAUGGACUGCGUACACUUUACCGUCCCCAGACUCUACUUUAUGGAAAUACACUGGGUGUAUUAUUGUUGUUUUUGAGUCAAUAGCCUAUCGAAAACAACCUCUCUACUGCAUCUGAGGUAGUGAUAUGGACCGCAUAAAUUUUACCCUCCUCAAACUCCACUUUAUAGGAAUACACUAGGUAUGUUGUUGUUGCUGUCGUUGUUGUUGAGUCAAUAGUCUAUCGAAAACAGUCUCUUUACAUCACAAAGAAAGAAAUAAGGUUUGUGUAUAUCAUUCACAAAGAAAGAAAUAAGGUUUGUGUAUAUCAUGCUCUUUUCAAACUCCACUUGUGAAUUACACCGAAUACGUAGUUAUUGUAUAUAUAAUCCACGAAAAGAGGCUCAAGUUUUUUUUUUGUUUUUAUUUUUCACCUGACGUGGAGUACUCAUUUUGGGAGUAACUCUGACUAAUCCAAAUUCACGUUAUGUAAAUGUUCAUAUUUUAAUAGAGUUAAAAGGAUCGAGACCUAUAAUUAAAGAUGGAGAGAUGUUACCUAUAUAUUCACCACAAGUAUUGGUGGUGAAACUUGAAAGGGAUCAAAUAUGGUAAAAAAUUCUUAGAUCAAACAUAGUAACAUACAAAAAUAUAGAUCAUAUAAAUUAGUAUGAAAGUUUAAUAUGUACCUAUUUGAGGAUUGAUGUACAAUACUAGGCCUCAGUGGAACAAAUACCACAUGUUGGACAGUUCAAUGCACUAAAAUUUUCGCUAUAUUUAGGGUUAACGAAAGAGCUAGACUACAAGAGUCUACUGUACGUACCGUACCCUGCAUUUAACAAGAGACUGUUUUCACGACCUGAACUCACAUGAAGGCAACUUUACAUUGACUGUACGUACCAUACCCUGCAUUUAACAAGAGACUAUUUUCACGAUCUGAACUCACAUGAAGGCAACUUUACAUUGACUGUACGUAUCGUACCCUGCAUUUAACAAGAGACUGUUUUCACGACCUAAACUCACAUGGAGGCAACUUUACAUUGAUUGUAAAGUAUCGUACCCUGCAUUUAAAAAGAGACUGUUUUCACGACCUAAACUCACAUGAAGGCAACUUUACAUUGACUGUACGUACCGUACCCUACAUUUAACAAGAGACUGUUUUCACAACCUGAACUCACAUAGGCAACUUAACAAUGUAAGAUAUUCAAUACGAGUUCAGUAAAAUUCAAUAAUUUUGAUUCAAACCUUCUAUAUAUGUUAGAGAAAUUUACCAAAUGCAUACAAAAUAAAAUUCAUAAUUGAAAUUAAAUGUUGUUUAUGAAAUUAAACCAAUUGCUUUCUUGAGUUGGGGUGGGGGCCUAUAAUACUAUAUUAAUUGGAACUUAUGGAAAGAUUAAAAAAGGACACCAUGUGAUAACAAAUCACUAAAAACCAAACAUGGAUUAAUAAAGUUACAAAAAUAUAAAUCAACAAAUAAAGUUUCCAACAUAAUUCACAAAAUUGAGAAAUAAUAGAUCUAGUGAUAGAGAAUAACUCACCAAUAAUAAUUUCUCAUUCAGAAUUUUCACUAAUGAAAUUCAAUUCAAUAUAUAAAGAAUUGAUAUAUGUACACACAAUAAUAGAUCUAAUAAGCAGAAUCAUGAAUUUCACUAAUAAAAUCCAAAAAUAUAAAAAGUUAGAUAUAUAGAAAAAAAGUCAAAGAAUUCAAUAUAAAGCCAAAGUCGGAAGACCGAACCAAAGCACCAACCGAAAUAGAACAAGAUCAUCAAUUCACCAUGAAGUAAUAAUAAUAAUAAUAAUAAUAAUAAAAUCUGCUAAUUAUAAUUUUUGAAUAAUAAAAAGAAUAAAAAUAUAUAUGCUGUUGACUCUAUAUGUAUCUUCCCACAGCUUUAUUGAACCCCAAAAAUUUUAAUUAAUUCUCUUCAUCUUAACCAAAAAAAAAAAAGAAUUAAAAUUUUGAUUUAUGCAGUUCAAGAAAGCUGUGGAAAAGUACAAAAAGAGUCAUUUUGUACACAAACAAAAAAAAAAAAGUACCCCUCAUUAACCCUAAAUAGGGUUUCUUGAAAAAAUAAAAAAUAUUUUUUUUCUCUCUCUUUUUUUUUCUUUCUCAUUUUGUGUUGUAAAGUGUUGUUUGAGGAGAAGAAUGAACAACCCUACUUUUUCUAUAACUACUAAAAAAAGCCAAAUUUAUUUCACCCCAUUAAUUAAUUUAUUACUCUUUACCACCAAAAAAAUAUGAUGCAGUGGAUGAACGGCUCCUCCCUUAGUUAAAGAUUUCAGAUUCGAGUUCUGAAUAUGAAAAAAAUCUUAGUUGAAAGCGUUAUUCCUGAAUGGAGUUCUACCCGACACAAAUUCGGAUUAGUCGAAUUUCAAUGUAGGUAUCGAACAUUGGAUGAGAAACCAAAAAAAAAAAAAUUAUUGCUUUUUUUGUUUCGAUUUAGGUGGCACGGUUUGAUUUGACUGGAUAUAUAGAAAAAAAAAAGAAAAAAAAUAACAUAAAUAUGCAUCUUAACUUAUCAUAUUUAGACAUAUCUGCAUUCUUAUAAAGUAAUUACAGAAAUUUCAACUAAAUAUAUAUCUUCGUUAGAUGUAUCAAGAGCUAAUUAUGUAUCUCGACAGUUUCAAAAUAGAAAAAAUUUAUCGAGAGCUAAUUCUGUAUCUCGACAGAUUCAAAAUAUAAAAAACGUAUCGAGAACUAAUUAUGUAUCUCAACAAAUCCAAAAUAGGAAAAAAUAUAUUGAGAGCUAAUUAUGUAUAUUUAUAAAAAAAAAUUAUAUCUUUAUUGAAUGUAUUAUGUAUCUCGACAGACCCAAGAUAGAAAAAACGUAUCGAGAGCUAAUUAUGUACCUUUAUAAAGGAAUUCAAUUAUGUACCUUUAUAAAGGAAUUCAAAUGUAUCUUUUUUGGAUGUAUCGCAAGCUAAUAAUUAUAUAUUUCGACAGACCCAAAAUUGAAAUUUUCAGUAAUUAUGCAAAAUGUAUAAAUCUUUUGUAAUGAAGUUUCAAAUUAUCGAGAUUUAUGUUUGCCUAAAAAAAGAUUCAUUUUUGAACUUUGUUAUUUAAAACAAAUCUUAAGCAGUUAGGUUGCGAUAAAUUAUUUAAUUUUGUGUAAAAGAAAUUUUAAAGUCAAUUAAACUAAUAUAGAAAAGUAAUAUUUUUAUACAAAUUAAAAAGGAAAAAUAUCGCAUGAACUGAAAUACGUUGAGUUCUACUAUAUAAAGCUAAAUUAUUUAAAAUGAUAUCCAGUCAAAUAUUAUCUAAUAUUAUUGAGUUUUAUACUGUUAAAUUAUUUAUAGUGAUAAUCUGAAUAAUAUUUGGUUACUAUUAAUACAUAAUGUAUUUGUCUAAUGUCAUUAUAUAUUAGGCAUAUUAAUACAUGGUGCAUACAAGAUCGUGUCUAUAAAAUUGGUGGCCUAAAGCUAGAUUUAAAUAUUAGGCAUUAAUUAUAUACAUAUAAAAAAAUAUUAUUAAUAUUUAGAGUUAAUUUUGAAUUUUGCGUACUACUUUUUUCUAAUGUAUUUUUGUUAAAAGACAUUAAGCAUUUUACUUCAGGUAGUAAUAUUGUUAUUUAUAAAAAUAAGGAUCAAUUUUAAUUAAUAAGAUAUUAGUUAUUUGUUUGCAAUGCAUUACCUUGAAUGUUGUUGUAAUAACUUUAUUUAUAAAUAUUAAGAUUUGCGUAUUUGUUUUAAAGUUCUAAUAAAUUACUUUUGAAAAAUUUUUAGAUAAAUUCUUCUUCUUUUUUCAAUUUGAUACCUUUUAUAUUUUGUAAUCUUUAAUAUUAUUUUGAGUAAAAUUAAAAUCAUAAAUUUAUAUUAAUUUUUUUGAGUCUCAAAAUUUUGGAGCGUUUGCUUAAGCCACCCCCAAGUGCCUAUGUAUAACGUCUGUUUUUUUUUGUUUCUCAUCCAGUGUAUGAUGCCCACAUUGGAGUUCCGACUAAUUUGGAUCGCGCGUUGCAGGGUCCAUUAAGGUGGGUAGCCACCCCCGAGUGCCUAUGUAUAACGUCCUUUUUUUUGUUUCCCAUUCGGUUUCCGGUGUCCGCAUUGGAGCCCCAAUUAAUCCGGAUCACGCAUUGCAGGAUUCAUAAGGUGGCAACGCUCCCAACAGAGUAGCCACCCCCGAGUGCCUAUGUAUAACAUCUUUUUUAUUUUGUUUCUCAUCCGGUGUCCAAUGUCCGCAUUGGAGCCUCGACUAAUCCGAAUCGCACGUUGCAGGGUCCAUUAAGGUGGCAGCGCUCCUAAUAGAGUUUUCUCUAUAUCCAAAGUCAAACCCUCGACCUCUAGUUAAGGAUGUAGCAGUCUUAUCCACCGCACCUCAACUCACGUUGGUGGCUAUGUAUAAUGUCAUUACAUGUUCAUUAUAGUAUUUGUCACUUUGUGUAACAAACAAAUGAAUUAAAUAAAGUGAUCUCUAAUUGAGAGGUGAAUAUACAACCUUAUCGAUUGAUUGGUGGUUGUGUUUUGGCUUAGUGGGCACACAUUUAUGGGUCCCUUUUAUAGAUCUGUCCAUUUUAUAAUUUUCAACUUAUUGAUUUAUUAUAAUAUGGCCAUAACUUUUUACACCUAAUAAAUAUAUAAACCAGGGGUUAGAGUUUGUAACUCAAAUUCUGUUGAUUCGAUCUUAAAUAAAAAGUUUGUGGUUGAUUUAUGUUUGUAAUUUUUUAUACGCAUGUAUUAUAUAAGUGCAAUUUAGUGAGUUGUUUUGGGCGAUUUUGUAUACGUCAUUGAGACUUUCUUCUGCUCAUUGUACCCUCUCGUCCAUUAUAGUGAAUUCCUCCGCAUCUAUCCGUAGUUUUUCAUCCCGUCAAGAAUUUUCACGUAAAUCUGUAUGUCUUCUUCUUGCAUUCUUUUACUUUUUAGUAUUGCUUAUUCUGUCCGAACAUAACAAGGGGUACCCGAAAGAAUUUAUUGAUCAUAUAUAGGGAGAUAUUUUCAUUUCUUUCUUUUUGAUUUCGUUUAUGACAUCCAUCCCGUUUCGUGUUUCAUUAUGGCCUUGGUGUAUUAUUCUCUAUCUUGAGUCGUGGGUCUAUCAGAAACAACCUCUCUAUUUCUGCGGAGGUAGCGGUAUGAACUGCGUACAUCUUACCCUUCCCAGACCUCACUUUGUGGGAAUACACUGAGACUGUUGUUGUUGUUGUUGUUGUUAGGGUACACCUAUUUAUGUCGUGUUUGGUGAUAACGUCUGCAACUUGAUUUUCUUCUCUAUAGUCUGUAUCAGUAUUGGAUCACAUAAUAUUAUUAGAAUUCGUAGUAAGCAUUUCGAUAUCCUUAUUGUCGUUGUCAUUCUUUAUUGUCUUUUGUACCUUUAUUACAUUUUCUUAGACUGUAUUUUUUCUUAAGUCAAGAAUUUAUCGAAAAUAGCUCUUUACCUCACCUCUAAGGUAUGGUAUGGACUGUCUAUAUAUAUACUUUACCCUUUUCAGACCUCACUAUGUGAAAAUACACAAUAAUCGUGUCUUACAGAUCAUGUCUAAUUUUCAUUACAUUUUCAAAUUCUAUGUCCAAUCAAACACGUAUACACAUAGAAUUAAAAGAAAGGCAAACAACAUAAAUUUCGAUAAUUUGGAGUUAAUUACGAAAAAAUUUGAAAUUGUGUAUAAUUACUUCAAUUUUGGAUCUGUCAAGAUAUAUAAUUAGCUCGGAAUACAUCCAAUAAAGGUGCAUAAUUAGCUCCCAAUAUAUUUUUUUUCGAUCUUCAAUUUGUUGAGAUAGAGAAUUAGCUCUCGAUACAUCCAACAAAGAUACAUAAUUAAUUGAUAUCUUUAUAAUUACUUUCUGACGAUAAAGAUUUAGAUAAAUAUGAUAAGUUAAACUCUAUGUUUAUGUUAUUUUUCAUUAAAAAAAAUAAUAGUAACUAUUUUUCAAAACUAACUAUCAAAAAAGUGAUGGUGAACUUUUUUUUUUUCUUUCUUUCUUUUUUGUAAAAAAUAUAAUUUUAAUUUUUUUUUUAUUUAAAUAAAUGAAUAUAAGGUUGUUCACAUGGAAGCAUGUGAGGGGGACCCACCAAUCGGGAAAAAUGACAUUUACCCCCCGAUAUUUCCGGAUUAAGGUUUCUUUGUCUCUCUUUUGUACCCCGACACUUUUAUUGCCUGCCAUUAUAAACCCCCACUAUCUUCCAAUAAGCCAAAUUUAACCCCCAUAUUUUAUUAUUAUUUUUUUGUGCUUUUUUUUUUAAAAAAAAAAAUAUAUAUAUAAUACAAUUCAUUACAUAUUUGUGUGUUUCUCUAAUAUUAUAUCCACAAUAUGUAAAUACAUAUAAGAUUUCAAGUUUUGUGUACAAAAUAUUUUAUAUUAGCAGGUAAAUUUAAUCUGUUAUUGCACGUUAUUCAAUUUUUUUUACAUAAAAAUCGAAAAAGAAAUAUUUGAAUAACCUGAAGUAGCAGAUCAAAUUUACCUGAUAGUGGAGAAUACUUUGUACACUGAUAAUGCACAAAACUUAAAUUCAUACAUAUAUACACUAUAAAAUAGUAGUAAGAAUUAACUAAAAUUUGGUGUCAAUUUUUAAAAAUUUCGUUGUUAAAUAAGAUUAGCAUAUGAGUUUUGUAGUUUUGUUUUUAAGAAAAACAAAUGAUGUUCGGAUCAGCUUUUGCGCACCUAGACUAAUUAACUCUACGGGAUAUAUAUCGCCUCCCACCAGCAAUAAAUAUCAAGUAAUUCCGUCCAUCAAAGCCAGGACAGAUGAGAGAAAAUCACCUAGUGAUUUUUUACAAAGUCAUUGAUCUUGUUUUGUUUUGUAAGUGAUGAUGUGUGUGUAUAAAUGUAUAAUUUUAUUUUUUUUUGGAUUUAAAAUAUAAUUUUAUUAAAUUUUAGUGACCUUUACGCGCGCAUGUGUACAAGUCACUAAAAUUUAAUAUUAGACGAAAAUAAAGGAUUGUGCACAAAGCAUUUUUCGUUAACAGAAUUUGAAAAAUGAUCGCAUUCGAAAAUAUGUGAAGUAAACAGUCUACUCUAAUAUUCUCAUAGUGAAGAUUAAGAGAUAUUAUUAUUAUGUAUGUAUAAGAUUUAGACUACAAGAUCUAUGGAAGUUAGUGGGUAUUUUUGUAAAGUUAGCUGUCAAUUAGUGUAUUAUUAGAGUCUUCUUUUUCAUAUUAUAAAGAUUAUUAUAAAUGCUUGGUUGUUUUGUUUGGUAUUUUUUAAACAAAGAAUAUUCCUCACAAAAAAAAUAUUCUCUAUUUUAAUCUAUUUCAUUAUUAAAAUCUUAAGAAAAUUCUAGGAUGUUGCUGCUACAUUUUUUUUCUAUAAUAUAGAAGCAUCGGUUUCGACAUGCUUGUCUUGUUUCAAUCGCGAUUUUAUUAUAUCAGUCAUAAUUAAUUUUAUAAGUCAUUUAUAUAUAAAAAGUUAAUAAUAUUUAAUUUAUAAACGAAAAAUAGACAUUUAUGACAUGCCUACUUCAGCUAGGGGUGUGCAUCGGUCGGUUCGGUUCGGUUUUAUAUAUUACCAGUUUGGUUUAUUGAUUUUCGGUUUUUAAAUAUGCAAAACCAAUAACCAAAUCAAUAAGAUAUUUUUUAUCGGUUUUUAGUUCUUAACGGUUCGAUUUUCGGUUUAACCGAUAGAAAUAGAAGUAACUAACAUGAAAAAUAAUCGAAUCUUAGUUGCAAAUAAAAAUCUUACAUAAUGUGUUUUAAUUUACAAGAAUCUUCAAGUUUGAACUAAAUGUUGUUGGAAGAAAUUAAGAGUUUGUAUAAUUGAAAUAAUAGAUUUGUUAAUUUGUAGAGAUUAAAGAGAAAUAUCUAAUAAUUCAUAUAUAUAUAUAUAUAUAUUCUUAUUGGGUUAUCAAUUUACCCAAUAACCCAAUAAGAAAAAAUUGAACCGAACCAAUAACCCAAUAAUUUUUUUAUAAAAUCAUUAAAAAAUCAUUAACCCAAUAACCCAAUAACAAUAAACCAAUAACAUUUUUAUUGGUUCGGUUUAUCGGCCGGUUCGGUUUUUGCACAGCCCUAGUUUCAGCUAAAAAGUGCAAUCCGGUGCACUAAAGCUACCGCUAUGUGCGGUGUCUGGGGAAAGCCCCCACCACAAGGGUGUAUCGUACGCAGUCUUACCUUGCAUUUCUGCUUCAGCUGCUUCAACAUAAUUUUACUAAAUACCGCCGUUGAUACAGAGUUGCGUCAGUUGUAAAAGUAUUUUUCUUUAUGCUGAGUGUGAACUUUCGAUUUCAGAUUUCUCUUAAAUUACUAGACAGAGAGUGUUUAACGAUUUUUUUUUUACUUAAAAUGAAAAUAAAUACUCGCAACACGAGCCAAACUAUAUCUUAAUUUAGUAUAUCAAUUUGCUUUGUAUCUUUCGAAUUUAUUUGCUCCGUAUAAGAGCGAAUAGAUACAACUCCAAGCGAACAGAUAUAGAGUGAACGAAUAAAACUCGAACUCUCGUUUCGAAUAAACUCAGGUAAUUUUUCGUUAGUUUUAUAAUUGUAGGGCUAGGUCGGGCCGAGCUCAGAAAGCUCAACUCUAAUCGAGUCGAGGGAGUAAUAUUUUGUACAUAUUGAAUAGAUUUUUAAGACAAAUAUAAAGUUUGAAUCAAAGUUAAUAGAUUUGAUGGAAUUCGUAUCUCGAAAAUAAAUGUAAAAAUUCGAUGUAAAGUUUUUAUAAAUCGGUGUACAUGUAGUAUAAGAAGUGGAGCCAAAAUUGAAAUUUCGAGAUUCGAGAUUCUAGUCUUUUUAAGUUGUUGCGUUCUCUAUUAAUAUUUUGUAUGUACUGAUUAAAUUUCUUUAAACAAAUACGCCCGCCCGUCUCAUAUUAGUUGGCAUAUUCGUCCUUUGCACAAACAACUCUUAAGGAGAAUUAAUAAGAGAUGCAAAUUGACUAAUAUGACCUUACUAAACUCACAUUAAAUAUCGUUGUUAUCUAUUGACGUUAAUUACUCUUCCAUUAAAUUACUAGGAGUAAAGUUGGAAAAAUAUGUCCAACUCUCUCUCGAUUCUUUAAACAUGCCAACAUGCCAAGUAAUAUAAAACAAUCCAGUACACCCUUGAAUUAUGACCAAAGUUGCUACGACAUAUUUCAACUUUACAGGGGUCCAAUUACCCCCCUGGUGUCAAUUUUAACGUAUUUUUGUCACGCUUUUGUGCUGACAUGACACCUCUAUUACAUAAAAGUAGGGUCUCCAUCAAAGGUGCCACGUCAGCUAAAAAAGUACCACACUAGCUAAAAAGAUUGAUAAAAAUACGUUAAAAUUUAGUUCAGGAGGUACAAGGACCCCGUGAAGUUAGAGUGUGUCGUAACAAAUUCGGACAUAAAUCAAAGAGGUACGAAAUACUUUACUCUUUAAAUUAAAAUUACUAAAUUGGAUCGAACCCGUAUCUCGAAGGCUUUAACUCCUAGGAAACAUAUGCAUGGGAAUUAAUGUGUACUACUUUGUCACCUCAUAUGACUAAUGUUUCUAUGGAAGUUCUCACUAAACAUACAUUAAUCCAACAUGAUUAAAAUUGCAGUCUGUCUAUUUGAGUUUACCCAUGACUUUGUCUUCUUUUUUUUAAUUUUUUUUUUUUUUUUUUUUAUGUAUAUGUAGUUUUUUUGCUGGUAGUGUUCUGAUAAUGUUUGUGAUUUUGAAUAAAUAGUUUAUAUUAUUAUUUUGUUGGUGUCUUGUUUCUUUUAUUAUCUAGUGAUAUGUUAUCUCAUUUUUUUUCGUGUUUUUGUAGUUUCUGGUUCGUAGUGCUCUGAUGAUGUUUGUGAUUUCGAAUAAAUAGUUUAUAGUAUUAUUCUCUCGGUGUUUUGUUUCUUUUACCAUCUAGUGGUGUGUUAUCUUAUUUUUUUCAUGUGUCAGUAGUUUUUUAUUUGUAGAGUUCUAAUGAUGUUUGUGAUUUUGAAUAAAUAAUUUAUAUUAUUAUUUUGUCGGUGUCUUGUUUCUUUUAUUAUCUAGUAGUAUGUUAUCUCAUUUUUUUUCACGUGUCUGUAGUUUCUUGUUCGUAGUGUUCUGAGAAUAUUUGUGAUUUUGAAUAAAUAAUUUAUAGUAUUACUCUCUCGGUGUCUUGUUUCUUUUAUUGUCUAGCGUUGUAUUAUCCAAUUUUUUCAUGUGUUUGUAGUUUCGUUUCUUGUCCGUAGUGUUCUGAUGAUGUGUGUGAUCUCGAAUAAAUAAUUUAUAAUAUUAUUCUGUUAGUGUCUUGUUUCUUUUAUUAUCUACCAGUGUAUUAUUAUUUCAUUUUUUUUUCAUGUGUCUGUAGUUUCUUGUUCCUAGUGUUUUGAUGAUGUUUGAGAUCUCGAAUAAAUAGUUUAUAGUAUUACUCUAUCACUGUCUUGUUUCUUUUAUUAUCUAGCGGUGUGUUAUCUCAUUUUUUCAUGUGUUUGUAGUUUCUUGUUCGUAGUGUUCUGAUGAUGAUUGUGAUCUCGAAUAAAUUGUUUAUAGUAUUAUUCUCUCGGUGUCUUGUUUCUUUUUUUGUAUGUCUAGCGUUGUGUUAUCUUAUUUUGUUGUUUAUUUUUAUGUUUUUUACUUGUUAUAUUGUUACCUGUCCUGAACCGGAGGUCUAUCGAAAACAACGAACCUCUCUACUUCAUAUGAGGUAGUGGUAUGGACUGCGUACAUUUUACCUUCUCUAGACCCCAAUUUAUGAGAAUACACGAGAUAUGUUAUUGUUGUUGUUGUUUUUCAUGUGUCCGAUAUUUGUUUUGAAUACGAUUAAUUUAAUUAGAUUCAUGUUGGAAAGUCCCACUUUAAUAAGGAGUAAAACGUUCUAUACCAAUAACGAUUUCAUACCUAUGACUUGAACUCGAAAUCUCGAAUUUUUUUUUUAUUAUAUAUUAACGUUCCACAUUUAUAGUUUUCGUGAUAAUGAUUAAAUUGUCGAAAUAUUUGAAGUUAGUAUUUAGAAUUAUUACAAGGUAGUAGGUUUGCUUAUCAAUAAGUUCAAUUCAAUUUUGAAUAUUAUUUAUAAACAUUCUAAAUAGAUAAUUAAAUUAUUAAGUUAUUGGUUAUCGAUUAACAAUCGUUAAUGAUUCGAUUAUCUAUUCAACCUAUAAGUAUAAUGGAAGCUUAUAUUUUCCAAGCACCUACAAAUGCAAAAUUAUGUUUUUCGUUAAACCAAUAAUUCGAUUUCAAUAAAUCAAUAUAAUUGUGGGUUGACUUUAACUAGGUUGUCUAUAUAUAUAUAUAUAUAUAUAUAUAAAAUAUUCGAUAUAUAUAAACUAUGAUUUUUCGACAAACAAUGUUUAAUUGACCAUCUUUUUGUCUAUGGUCAUUAGUUAAAUUCGAUUAAAAGUAGCAAGUUUUCUCAUCCGGUAUUUCAUAUAUGUGCUGAGACCCAAUUAAAUUCAAAUUGUAUGCAUUGUGGGGCUCAUUAACUCGAAUCUAAGAUCUCUAACUAAAGAUGGAGAGAUCCCGAUCAUUCCAUCGUAAUCCAUAUUGAUAAAAUUAUUGAUUAGAGUUCAUUGUAACUUAUGUCUAAUUUCAUAAUUGCUACAAAAAUUAUUAGCAAUGUACAUUAUGUAUUGUAAAAGGACUUUAAUUAUUUGUAUAGUUGGUGAAAAGUAGGAAUAAGUAGUACUAAAUAUAUGUCAAAAAUUAACCAAUCAAGUCCAUUCAGCUAAUGAUUGGUAGGAUUUAUUUCCAUAGUAAUUGGUGGGAUUUUUAACCAUAAUAAUUGGUGAGAUUUUUUUACCAUAAUAAUUGGUGAGAAUUUAAUAUAGAAGAUCUUGUAACAAUAACAAUAGUAAAUUCCGUGUAAUCUCAUAAGUAGAAUCUAGGAAGAAUAAACAUACACGAAUCUUAUAAUUACCUUUGAAAAGGUAAAGAGAUUGUUUUCGAACGAGUCUAAACUGAACAACCGUGAAACAGAAAAUCCUAUAAAAUAAGUAAAAAUGAGAAUAGAAGAGUAUAUAGAUUAGGACAACGGUGGAGCCAGAAUUUUCAAUAAUUUGAUUCACAAGUGAAUAUGCGAACUAACCGAAGGGGGUUCGAUAUCUACUAUAUAUAUAAAAAAUAAUUUUAAUUAUAUAUAUAUAGUAUAAUUUCCGUCGAAGGGAGUUCGAAUGAAUCGAAUCCCCUUUCCCAGGUGUAGCUUCGCCCGUAAAUUAGGAUAAUUCAAAAUUCGUUUCGAUACUUGUGGAACUAGAGUUUUAGCUAUAGAUUCGUUAAAACUGGUACUCCACACACAAAAAAAAUCCUUUGGGCUAUCAAUAUGGGUUGUGUUGCAGUGGAUGGGGCUGCUCUACCCUUAACCAGAGGUCGAGAGUUCGACCAUGGGUAUGGAGAAAACUCUGUUGGGAGCGUUGCCACCUUAAUGGGCCCUGCAACGCAUGAUCAGAAUUAGUCGGGGCUCCAAUGCGAACACCAAACACCGAAUGAAAAACCAAAAAAAAUAAAUAAUAACAAUUAAAAAAAAAUCCUUUGUAGUGGGCUAUAUGGUCCAUUAUAAGUCACCCAUCAGGCCAACUUGACCAAAAAGGUACAAAUAUAGUUGUGUACAAAUUUAACCCAAAAAGAUAACACACACACUAACACACCUUCAUUUUACACACAUUGAUUAAAAAGCCAACAAUUAAUGGACCUUAAUAAAAGUCCAAUUACUCUUUUCGGGUUUCAAAGCCCAAUUUCCCUUUCUCUCUCUCUCUCUCUCUCUCUCUCUCCUCUUUCUCUCUCCUCCUUCUACGGCCCAAACCCUAGAUCUGUCGCCGGAAUUACUCAUCGGAUUCCAAGUUCCCUUCUGGAUUUCCCUCUAAAUCUAAUUUCACAACUUGGGUGUCCCUCAAAAUUCAAUUUUGGUACUUGGAUUCUGCUCAAAAUUCAAAAUUUGUAUACAGGUAAAUUAACCCCCUUUUUUUUUACAAAAUUCGGAUUUAAUUUAUUUAUUUUUAAUUUUUUUUAGUUAAUUAUUGUGUUAUUGUGAAAAUUGUUGUGCUGAAUUACUGAAAUGAUUAUAUUUUUGUGCUAAAUAACUGUACAGCAUGAUCAAAGUAAGCUGUGUUUUUAGAUUUGUGUGUAAUUUUUUUUUUAGAUGUUUAGUUAUUUAUUGUGGUGUUGUGAAAAUUGUUCUGCUGAAGUACUGAAAUGAUUAUAAUUGUGUGUAAAUAUGUGCUAAUUUACUGUACAUAAUGAUCAAAAUAAGCUGCUUUUAAAGCUGUGUAGAAGCUUUAGUGCACGGGGCUGCCCUUUUUAUCUGUUUUGAGCUUCUUUCAGAAAUGCAGGUAACACUGUGUAUAAUAAACCCUUUUGGUUCGGUCUUUCCUUGGAUCUUGUGCAGAAGCUUUAGGGCACGGGGCGCUUCUUUUAUCUGUUUUGAGCUAUUUGAAGCUUAUGUGGCUUAAUUCAAUUUUCUUUUGAUAUGUUUAUAAAAAAAGUUGUGAUUUUUUUAAAUCUUUUUCUUGACGUUCUGUGCGUGAAGUUUGCAGGUUUUAAUGAUUCUUGAAAAUUUUGGUUGACAGUGUAAUAGAUUCAAUUGUUGUUAGUAAAAAGAGGAUUUUUGAUCUGGGCUUUGUUGAUGUUUCUAACUUGUUUAGCUCAUGUUUUGUGAAAUGUCCAUUUUAGCCCUGAGGGUCUUUGAAAUAGAGUGUACUAUACUCUCCUUGUUUCCUUAGAAGGACCAUUAUUAUUAUUUAACUUUGGAUCAGUUGUGAAUUCGGGAUGGUAGAGGUAACACCGGGCCAGGCCGGUGUGUGCCCAUUGUUCAGCUUUGAGGAACUAAUUUCUUGUAUUUUGUUGGCUAAAUCUUCGGCCUCCUGUUUUAUUGGUCCAAAGAGUGAGUACUAAGGAGUCGUUUGUCCAUAGAUUUUGUUUCAAAUAUUUGAAAUAAUAUAUGGAGAUUUUGUUUCAAAUUAUUGGCUCAUUAUUUCAACUUCAAGCUUGAAAUAUGGAACUUGAAGUUUGUAAAACUUGUUUAACUCCAAAACUUCUGUGUUUUCAUGUCUAAAUACAACUUAACUUCCAAAUACCACUUUGUCGACUUAACGUCAAUUUUUUUUUCAAAUAUCAACGAAUUCAUGCCCAAAUGCAUACUAAGUAUGCUUGAAGCAAUGGAUUUGCAGCCAGGCUGCAACGUCAUGCCACAUUCUUUAGGUGCUGGGUUCAAUGCCUACUGAUGGCCAUAGGCUGUAACUCCAUACUCAAUCUGUAUGAUGUAAAGAACAAAUCCAUUAUACGGCUCUCCCUUCACCUGGAAAAAGUUUAAAAGACAGUUUAUAUAUAUAUACUUUGCAGCUUUAACCACCUCUUGUUCUGCUUCAAAGUAGCGAUGGGGCUACAUGAACAUUGCUUGUGGAUGUAAGUCCUUCGAAGGAUGCAAACCCUUAGAAGAAUUGGAUAAUGCAAUCAGCUGAGCUGUAGCUAUUUCUUUCUUUAUAAAGAGGUUGGACCGAUAUCAGCAGAGUGUUUUCUCUAAGAUAGACCGAGGAGUGUGUUUAGACUUAUUGAAGAUAGGAUAAAUUGAGCUGUUAAGGAUAUCAAAAAAGGCAAUAGUUUACAGCGGGAAAACAGAAAGAGGAUUAGUUUCAUAGGAGUUAUCGCAAAAAAAUGUAUGUACACACAGUGCUACUUUCAGGCAUGUGUUUUAUAGAUUCACAAAUCUUUUCUUCAGUUUAACAUACAUGUGAUUUACUUUGUUUUUUUUUUCAUUAUAAAUUAUAGAUUAUUGAUAAGUGUUUUAGCUUCCCACAGUCUUGAGCUCUUCUGGACCUUGAUGGCGACCCCAGAAACCCCAGCUUCUCCAGCAACUCCCACUGAGAAUCAUGAGAUAGUGCCGAAAGAUGAGGGUAUACAUGAGCAGAGUCAUGAGAUGGUGCCAGAAAAUGAGAAGUUACAUGAGCACAGUCAUGAAAAGGUGCCGGAAAGUGAGAUCAUACAUGAGCACAGUCAUGAGAUGGUGCCGGAAAAUGAGAAGAUACAUGAACGCAGUCAUGAGAAGGUGCCGGAAAAUGAGAUGAUACAUGAGCAGAGUCAUGAGAUGGUGCCAGAAAAUGAGAAGAUACAUGAGCGGAGUCAUGAGAAGGUGCCGGAAAAUGAGAUCAUACAUGAGCACAGUUGUGAGAAGGUGCUGGAAAAUGAGAACAUACAUGAGCACAGUCAUGAGAUGGUGCCGGAAAAUGAGAUCAUACAUGAGCAGAGUCAUGAGAAGGUGCCGGAAAAUGAGAAGAUGCAUAAGUGCAGUCAUGAGAAGGUGCCGGAAAAUGAGAUCAUACAUGGUUACAGUCAUGAGAUGGUGCCAGAAAAUGAGAAGAUACAUGAGCGGAGUCGUGAGAAGGUGCCGGAAAAUGAGAUGAUACAUGAGCAGAGUCAUGAGAUGGUGCCAGAAAAUGAGAAGAUACAUGAGCGGAGUCGUGAGAAGGUGCCGGAAAAUGAGAUCAUUCAUGAGCACAGUCGUGAGAAGGUGCCGGAAAAUGAGAACAUACAUGAGCACAGUCAUGAGAUGGUGCCGGAAAAUGAGAUCAUACAUGAGCAGAGUCAUGAGAAGGUGCCAGAAAAUGAGAAGAUACAUAAGCGCAGUCAUGAGAAGGUGCCGGAAAAUGAGAUAAUGCAUGAGCAGAGUCAUGAGAUGGUGCCAGAAAAUGAGAAGAUACAUGAGCACAGUCAUGAGAAGGUGCCGGAAAAUGAGAUCAUACAUGAGCAGAGUCAUGAGAUGGUGCUGGAAAAUGAGAAGAUACAUGAGUGCAGUCAUGAGAAGGUGCCGGAAAAUGAGAUCAUACAUGAGCAGAGUCAUGAGAUGGUGCCGGAAAAUGAGAUGAUACAUGAGCAGAGUCAUGAGAAGGUGCCGGAAAAUGAGAUCAUGCAUGAGCAGAGUCAUGAGAAGGUGCUGGAAAAUGAGAUCAUACAUAAACACAGUCAUGAGAUGGUGCUGGAAAAUGAAAUGAGGCAUGAACACAGUCAUGAGAUGGUGCCGGAACAUGAGAUGACGCAUGAACACAGUCAUGAGAUGGUGCCGGAACAUGAGAUGACGCAUGAACACAGUCAUGAGAUGGUGCCGGAAAAUGAGAUGAUGCAUGAACAUAAUCAUGAGAUGGUGCGGGAAAAUGAGAUGAUGCAUGGACAUAAUCAUGAGAUGGUGCCGGAAAAUGAAAUGAUGCAUGAACAUCAUAUGGUGUUUGGAAAUGAAAUAGUUCCCAGCAAUGAGAUGGUCCCGGACGAUGAGAUGAUCCCACUAAACGAGAUGGUACUUGCAGAGCCAGAACCCAACUAUAUAGAAACACCUCCAAACAACCCAGAAACACAACCCAGCAAGCGUAGGAAGAAGAAGUCAAUAGUUUGGGAACACUUCACCAUUGAAAAUAUUGGCAAUGGAACCAGAAGGGCACAAUGUAAGCAGUGCAAGCAAUCAUUUGCAUAUAGUACAGGUUCAAAAGUAGCCGGCACUAGUCACCUGAAACGGCAUAUUGCCAAAGGAACCUGUCCAGUUGUCCUGCGUAACCAACAGAAUAAUCAAUUGACCCCUUAUAGUACACCUCCUAAGAUGAGUGGAUAUGGUGGUAGUACUGAUGCACCAAAACGACGUUAUCGGACUGCUUCUGCUCCUUACCUUGCUUUUGAUCCUGACCGGUGCCGUCAGGAGAUCUCUAGGAUGAUCAUCAUGCACGACUAUCCCCUUCACAUGGUUGAGCAUCCAGGCUUUCUUUCUUUUGUCCGGAAUCUUCAACCUCGUUUUGAUAUGUUGAGCUUCAACACCGUGCAAGGAGAUUGUGUGGCAACUUAUCUUAGAGAGAAGCAAGCCAUUCAGAAGGUGAUUGAGGGAGUGCCUGGGCGAAUCUGCUUGACGCUAGAUAUGUGGUCCUCCUGCUACAAUGUGGGCUACAUGUUCAUAACUGGGCAGUAUAUUGACAGUGAGUGGAAAAUUCACAGGAAAAUACUCAAUAUCAUCAUGGAACCAUAUCCAGAUUCUGACACGGCUUUCAGCCAUGCUGUUGCGGCUUGCCUUUCUGACUGGAGUAUGGAAGGGAAGUUAUUUUCGGUCACUAUUAAUCAACCAUUGGGUGAUGCUGCUGUUGAUAAUCUUAGAGCUUUAUUAUCUGUGCAGAACCCUCUUGUGCUCAAUGGUCAGUUGUUGGUUGGAAGUUGUCUUGCUCGAACUUUAAGCAGCAUCGCCCAAGGUGCAUUUGUGUUUUUGCAUGGUACUGUUAAGAAAGUAAGAGACAGCGUUAAGUAUGUGAAAACAUCGGAAUCUCAUGAAGAAAAGUUUCUUGACCUCAAACAGCAGCUUCAGGUGCCAAGCACAAAGACUCUGUCGCUUGAUGACCAAACUCAAUGGAACACGACAUAUGAGAUGUUGUUAGCUGCAUCAGAAUUAAAGGAAGUAUUUUCGUGCUUGGAUACAUCUGAUCCUGAUUACAAGGAUGCCCCAUCGAUGGAAGAUUGGAAGCAAGUCGAGGUUCUGUGUAAUUACUUGAAAACCGUUUUUGACACCGCCAAUCUUCUGACUGCACCUACAGUUCCAACAACCAACACAUUCUUCCAUGAAGCAUGGAAGAUUCAAUUGGAGCUGGUUCGUGCUGCAGGAAGUGAAGAUCCAUUCAUCAGCAGUCUUACCAAAACAAUGCAAGAGGAGUUUGAUAAAUACUGGAAAAAUUGUUGUCUAAUAUUAGCUAUUGCCGUAGUAAUGGAUCCACGCUUCAAAGUGAAACUCGUCGAAUUCAGUUUUACGAAAAUAUAUGGUGAAGAAGCUGGCACCUAUGUGAACAUCGUUGAAGAGGGAAUCCAUGAGCUUUUCCGUGAAUACGUGGCACUUCCUCUGCCUUUAACCCCAGCUUAUGCUGAAGAGGUAAAUGAUGGGGCUUUGAAGCAGGAGAACGGUGGCGCUGGACUUACAGAUUUUGACGCCUACAUUAUGGAGACAACAAGCCAGCAGUCAAGGUCAGAACUUGAUCAAUAUUUGGAUGAGUCCUUGUUGCCUCGUGUUCACGAGUUUGAUGUUGUGGGAUGGUGGAAACUGAACAGAAUAAAGUACCCAACUCUCUCAAUAAUGGCUCGUGACAUCUUGUCCGUUCCAGUUUCUACUGUUACAUCCGACUCUGUAUUUAGCACGGCAGGCAAAGAGAUGGAUCGCUACAGAUGUUCAUUGCGACCCGAGACCGUGGAGGCCCUCAUCUGUGCCAAGGAUUGGCUUCAAAAUGCAUCGGUAAACACUUUACAUGCACCGAUAAAAAUGGAAGUCCCUAUUUAGGCCUCUUUUUCUGUUCAGUGAUAGCCUUUUGUAGCUGAUAUCUGUUUUCUUUUAGAUUGUUUUAACAUUUAUAUCUCCUUUGUUGUGUCGUCGGAGAAUCAACUGUCUUGUAUCAUAAUUUGGUACCGCUAGAGGCUUACCGGAGAGUUUAGUCGUGAUUUUCGCGCUUUUCUCAGUUGAUGUCAGUUUUAAUCGUGUAUGAUAUGAAUAUAUGUUGAAUAUUACUUGUGUUGCUUAUCUAUGAGUUAUAUGCAAAGCAAAAAUGCAUUAUAUUAUAAAGUUGAUUUUCUUAUUUAUUUACAUUUCUCAAUUCCACCAAAGAAGGGAAUCGUUGGAGUAACUGGUAAAGUUGCUGCCAUGUGACCAGAAGGUCACGAGUUCAAACCUUGAAAACAGCCUCUGACAGAAAUGUAAGGUAAGGGUGCGUACAAUAUACCUUUGUGGUGGGGCCCUUCCUCGGACCCUGUGCAUAGCAGGAGCUUUAGUGCACCGGAUUGCCCUUUUUCUCAAUUCCGCCAAAGAAAGGUGUAAGAUUUGCGUUCAUCUUACCCUACCUAAAUUCCAAUUAUGGUAUUACAUUGCAUAUGAUGUAUUUCCAUUUCUUUAAUUGUCACCUACGAAAGUGUAACAAACAUACGACUUUCAUCGAAUACAACUUUCAGCGGAAUUUUAUAUGUAUCUAUGAGAUCGAGUAUGGAAUUCUGUUUACUCACUUUAAAUUCAGUAUCCGUUUCCCUCCCUUUCGUGCUAGGAUUGGAAAUCUUGUAUUUUACAUAUCCAUACGAUUGAGUCCUUGGGUUUUCUAAAUAGUGUAAAAAGAAGUGCUCCAAAUCAUUGCUGUUUGACUUGGAUCUGUUCUAAAAAAAUUGAGGUAUUUCGAAUUGUUUGUUGACACGGACAAACAUACGACUUUCAUUGCAUACGACUUUUCACAAAAUUCUAUAUGUAUCUAUGAGAUCGAGCAUGGAACUCUGUUUACUCACUUUAAAUUGAGUAUUCAUUUUCCUUCCUUUCCUGCUAGGAUUGGAAAUCCUGUAUUUUACAUAUCCAUACGAUUGAGUUCUUGAGUUUUUGAAAUAGUAUAAAAAGAAGUGCUUUGAAUCAUUGGCAUUUGACUCGGACCUAUUGUAAAAAAGUCUAGGUAUUUCGAAUUGUUUGUUGACACGAACAAAGUCGGGAAAAACCUCUGAAAUAACAGUUGUGUAAAGUGUUAACACUUUUGCAAUAACGACUAUGCUUUAGUCCCGAACAUGUUGUAGUUCGCGCCAUAUGAAUUUUUACUUCGCCAUAUUAUUUUUUUUUCUGUUCAUGUCGUUCCAUUUAAGCUCAUUGGGACAACAAUUGUGAGAAUUUGAUGAUCUAUAAAUCGUUCCUAACGAGCGAUCGGCUCAUGUUUGAGCAUGAUGAACCACUUUAUGCCGAUCUGUUGCCAAUCCACUUUCCGGCUUCAUAUGUGAACGGAAAACUAGAGCAUUUUAUCCAUCGGUGGAUGAAGAAUCGCAAACAUAAUAAUUUCUGGUUGAUCAUGUUCCCAGAAAAAAAAUACUUUCGUGAAAAGACGAGCACGACUAAAGUGGCUAUAUGAAACAAUGAAAAAGUUGUCAUGUAACCUAUAGUUGAAAAUUCGAGUGAUGGAAUCAAAAUCUCUUCGAUUAUCAGAAAUAAAAAAAGUAAAUAUAAUUUUCUAUACUUAUAUACAACUACAAAGUACCAAACAUUAUAAUUGGAUUAGAUUAAUAUCGAUGGAUCCUUUAUAUGCAUCGAAUGAUAAAUAACUACAAGCGAUGGAGACCAACAAUCCAAAAAACGAAAAAUAAAAAACUUGAAAAUAGUAUCGAGAAUGACUGAAAAGAUAGAAACAAGACCAAAUAUAAUUUAAUUAUUAUGAGCAGUUUUUUUGCCUGGACUCCAAAACGACGGUCAAUCGAAAGAUCCUGUGUUAUAUCAUUAGAUCUCGAUUUUUCAUAUAUAAAUGUAAUUAAUGUAUCUCAUUCGUAAAGGGUUUCCCCCAUAAUGGCCAUGAAUGAUUGCUCCGGAGUUGCCCAAAGAAGGCUUAGCUGAUCAUAUCACUAUCGAGUCAACUUGAACAAGUAUAACUUGACCCGAUUUCAGGGUCGGUCUUGAAAUUUGGUGCUUUUUUAUCUCCAGUUGCUACGAGGAAAAAAUGACGAAAUUUUUUAAGUUUUUCUCUCUUUAUGCUGAAAAAUUAUUAUUCUAGUCAAUAUAUUUUAUUGUUUAGGGGGAAUUACGCUUACUUGUUUUUUAGUACAAGUAGCUACUGAGUUUGCUAUGACUUUUUACGAUCGUCCGACUGUUACUGAGGCUUUUGCUUCUGUUCAAUACAUAAUGACUGAAGCCAACUUUGGUUGAUUAAUCCGAUCAGUUCAUCGAUGAUCGGCAAGUAUGACGAUCCUAAUGAUAACCUUGUAUGUAUUUCGUGUAUAUCUCACCGGCGAAUUUAAAAAACCUCGCGAAGAGUGGAUGAGAUACUUUGGUCCCCCUCUCCCGGUACGGUGGAGGUGCCGUAGCAUGUCAUGAGCACCUGGAUCAAUAACUGAAACUCAGAUAUAAAAUUGAUAAAAUUAAAAUUUUGAAUCCGCCUCUGUAUAUAUAAUCCACAAUGACUUAGCAACAUUGUAUGGACUAGGAUUAUUCUUUUCAAAUUCCAAUCAAUAAUAUGUCCAAAAUAUUAUAUGGUCCUACUUAUCUCUUUUUGACUUUUUUUUUUUUUUCAUUUGAUAUCUUACAUCUAAGUAAUUACCACUUGUUAAUAUUACCAUAUCACCUGUUUUUUUUUUUUUUUUUUUAAAUUUUAAUCGUCUGGUAAUUCAUAUUUAUUUUAAUUAAUUUAAAUUUUCAUUACUUAAAGCUCGAUUACAUGUUUAUGUGAAUCCAAUAUUUUUUGCUCAAAUAGUUUUUAAAAAUCUACUAAUUAUACCUAGUUAUUGUUGCUAGCUCUAAAAUAGAAACCAACAAAUGAUAUCAAUAAACUAUAUUAUAUAAAAUUACACUUAGAAAGAGAAAUAAAGACCAAUGAUGGAUAAAAAUUACUUUCAUUAAUACACUGAAAUAAAUUUCAUUAAUAAAUCACAAUUCAACAAAGCCAAAAGUAAAAACAAUAGCAGAAAUACAUAAAAUACAAUUUGGAGAGAAAAUGAGAAAUUAAUUAAUCAUAAAUUUGACAUCCUUUCAUGUCAAUCCAUGCAAUUCUUCAAAUUUAAUCUGGAAAUCCUGCAAUUUAAUCAGAAUUUAAAUUAAUGAGUUUAACAUAAAGAAAAUAACGAAGUCAGGAUUUUCACUAAAUUGCGUUAAAUUAUGAACAAGAUUAGAAAAAAUAUUCAACAUAUAGUGUAUAUAGAUAAUCUUUUUAAAAACCUAUAGCGGUUGUCAGUUGACAUUCGUUGGACAAAUGUGGCUCCGCCAUUGCACCAAAAGUACUAAUGGUGGGGGUGCAUGCAGAGGCGGAGUCAAUAGGGGUUCGUUUGAAUCAUUUUCGAUGGAAAAUUAUAAUAUUAAUGCAUGAUUAAAAUGAUUUUUAUGUAUAUAUUGUAGAUGUUGAACCCUCUUCGAUGAGUUUUUCUUCUGAUUUUGAACCCCCUCAGCAGAAAUCCUGGCUCCGCCUCUGAGUGCAUGGACGGAAGGAGGUUCAACCAAAGCCUUUCAACGGUAAAUUUCACAAUAUAUAUUAGGUCAAUUUCUUUUACGUACAUAUAGUAGAUGAUAAACGCCAUUUUUCAAAACUAUAUAUUGCACUUAGAUUAGUGUCUGUGGUUCGAGCCCUCGGGAAUGGAGCCACUUUUGAUGAUAGGUGACCUAAUAUGUGGCUCCAUUACUAGUCAGACCUCAAAGCAAGUACCGAACAUAAAAAAAAAAAUAAGUGUCCUAAUAUGUGGCUUCAUUGUUAGUCUGACCUCAAAGCGAGUACGGAACACCAAGUGAAAAAUAAGUGACCUAAUAUGUGGCUCCAUUGUUAGUCUGAUUUCAAAGCGAGUACCGAACACCAAGUGAAAAAUAAGUGACCUAAUAUGUGGCUCCAUUAUUAGUCUGACCUCAAAGCGAGUACCGAACAUCAAAUAAAAAAUAAUUGACUUAAUAUGUGGCUCCAUUACUAGUCUGAUCUCGAAGCGAGUACCGAACACCAAGUGAAAAAUAAGUGACCUAAUAUGUGGUUCCAUUAUUAGUCUGACCUCGAAGCGAGUACCAAACACCAAGUGAAAAAUAAGUGACCUAAUAUGUGGCUCCAUUACUAGUCUGACCUCAAAGCGAGUACCGAACAUCAAAUAAAAAAUAAGUGACCUAUGUGGCUCCAUUACUAGUCUGACCUCAAAGCGAGUACCGAACAUCAAAUAAAAAAUAAGUGACCUAUGUGGCUCCAUUACUAGUCUGAUCUCAAAGCGAGUACCGAACACCAAGUUAAAAAUAAGUGACCUAAUAUGUGGUUCCAUUAUUAGUCUGACCUCAAAUCGAGUAUCGAACACCAAGCGAAAAAUAAGUGACCUAACAUGUGGCUCCAUUACUAGUCUGAUCUCAAAGAGAGUACCGAACACCAAGUGAAAAAUAGGUGACCUAAUAUGUGGCUCCAUUAUUAGUCUGACCUCAAAGUGAGUUCUGAACACCUAGUGAAAAAUAAGUGACCUACUCCAUUACUAGUCUGAUCUCGAAGCGAGUACUCCAUUACUAGUCUGAUCUCGAAGCGAGUACCGAAUUCCGAGUGAAAAAUGAAUAGAAAGUCAUAUUACCUAGAUGGAGCAAGUGUAGCCAGGUGGAGGAGUUUUGCCACAAGUAACAAGUAGUUGAAGAGCAAGAGGAACAUAGAUUUUAAGGUUAAGUAGUUUGAGUUUAAGUGUUGUGCAAAGGCAAGCAGCAGCUUCAAGUUCAGCAAGUCCACUAAUUAUUGGACAACAUUCAUGAACAGCUGGAUCACCAAGACCAAUAUGAACAAGUCCACCAAGAAGAUCCACACAAGCCCCAAGUUUCAAUGUGUCAAUUGGGCAUGUUGCCUUUGUAGUUGGUGGACAUGGUUUUUUCCCUUUAGGUGAUGGGGUAAUUACUGGUGGAACUGUGACAGGUGGAAGCCCAAUAGGUGGCAACUUGAUGGGGGGUUUGACAACUGGUGGUAAAGUGAUAGGCGGUUUUACAACUGGUGGAACUGUGACAGGUGGAAUUCCAAUAGGUGGCAAAUUGAUAGGCGGUUUUACAACCGGUGGUAAAGUAAUAGGCGGUUUUACAACUGGUGGAACUGUGACGGGUGGAAGUCCAAUAGGUGGCAAAUUGAUAGGCGGUUUUACAACUGGUGGAACUGUGACGGGCGGAAUUCCAAUAGGUGGCAAAUUGAUAGGGGGUUUGACAAUGGGAGAGGGAGUUUUGGGCUUCUUGGUCUUGGGCUUGUGAGAAGGUUUACCACAAUAGCCACAACCAAGAAUGGGAGUUAAAGAGGAAAGCAAAAGCAUGCAAAUGAAAAGAAGUGAAGUUAUCUUAGAGAACUCCAUUUUUUUAAGAGGGAAAAGAAAAGAAAAUGGGGUAAAAAAUUUAGUACAAAGUGUAUGGUGUUAUAUAGAUUUUAUUAUAGAGCAAGUACUUGAUGAUUGUGUAUAAAAACAAAACAAAAAAAAAGCUCAAAAACCAAUGCAUGUGAACAAGAGGGGCUAUAUGGCCAAACUUUUGGCUAGUUGGCAACUCAAAUGUGAUCUUGUAUAUACAUGAAUGUAUAUUAGUACUUGUACUUAAAUCUCUAUGGCGGAUCCAAGAUCCAAAAGUCGUGGAUGCACGGAAGGUUUAAACACAUAUGUUGACGUCCAAAAGGUUUAAGGUUCCGCCUGAAAACUAAAGCACCCAGCUGUCUUCUUGGCUUACUGGGUGUUUUUCUAAAUUUGAUAUCAGACUCUGUACAUUUUUCAUAUAAUUAUACCUAAUCUGCGUCGAAUUUAAUCAGUGUCGAAGCACCAAAAGUUUGGCUAUAGGUUCUUCCCUUGAUUAUACAUAGCAAUGGAGCUCGUCAACUUUACUUGCCUGUAUGAAAAGCUCAGUCUGUCGCUACAAUUUGUUAGAAAUUAACUUGUCGAGAAUGUUUCUGACAAACUUUUCGUCAGAAAUCUCAUAUUUUCUACGAUGUUUUGAUGAGAACAUCCUUUGAAACUUUACGUAUUUGUUGGUACGUAAAAAAAUGUGAGUAUAUUUUACGUGACAUUUACGCCGUCGUUUAACUACCUCUCGAGAAUGUAAUUGCAGAUAGGUUACUCUCGAGAAUGUAAUUGCAGAUAGGUUAGUCUUAGUAGGUCGUUGGAACACAAGUUGAAGAUUUCAUUUUGUCAUUUUUGACAGCUAAAAUAGAAUAAUAUUUUUAGAUAAAAAUUCUCAAUAAUCAGCCAAUGGAUGUUAAUAUUUUAUCCAGCUCAAUUUUAUAUAAUAUCUCUCUAGACAAAUCAAUUUUAUAAUAUCCCAUAACUUACUCUUCACACAGUACAAAAAAAUAAAAAAUAUUUUUUUUUAAAAAAUACAAAAAUUACCUACAAAUUACAAAAAUAAUUUUAACCAUGUAUAUAUAGAAUAACUUACCGUCGAAGGGGGUUCGGAUGAACCUCCAAUCAUACAUGUAGCUCCGCCCCUGGGAUCCGGUAAGUGUCUAGGGGUUCGUUAGGCGAAAAAUUAUAUUUUUUUAUGCAUGUUUAAAAUUAUUUUUUUAUGUAUAUAAGGGGCGGAGACAACCUUUGUAAUGGAGGUUCACCAAACUCCCCUCGACAGAAAAUUAUACUAUUUAUAUAAUAUUAAAAUUAUAUAUUAUGUAUAUAUAAUAGAUGUCGAACCUCCUUCGAUUAGUUUUUCUUCAAAUUUUAAACCUCUUUCGUGGAAAUCCUGGUUGGCUUCGCCUUUGUGUAUAUAUAAUAGAUGUUGAAUUACUUUGAUUUCUUUGUAUAUUUCCUUCUUUAUAUUUUGAACGUUUUAGUGAAAAUCCUGAUUCCGCCAAUGCGGCCCCACCACCUCAAUAGCUCCAUGUGUAUAUAUAGUGUCUAGGAAAUUUCAUAGGUUGAUAUGUCUAUCAAUUUCUAUGUAUAAUCCUAUAACUAGGUUGAUUAGAAAUUCAAAAAGUAUAGUAAUUUUCACCAUAGUAAAGUCAUUAUCAGAAGCCUAUUAAUAUGAAUUUUAUAUCAAACCUUAAUUAUCUGUUAAAAUAGAAGGUAAUAGGUACAAUAUUUGUGGCAUCAUUAAUAACCAAAACAAAAAGUGAUUAAUAUAUUAAUGGAAAUUUCCAAAUUAACAACUUAAUUACUAAUGACUAACUACACAAAAGUACAUCUUGUGGGACUAUACACUGAUAUAUUAAUUAUUGUCAUUGUUUUGUUUAUACAAAAAAACAUUUUCUUCUAUUCAAAUUAUAACUGAUCAUACGAGAUCAUUUCCUCCUGAAUUGUUCUUCUUCCAAAGCAAUACCGAUGUUUUUUUUUUGUUUAUUAAGUUCGCGUUUGACCAUGAAAAUAAAAAAAAUUUUGAAAUUAGAGUUAAAAGUUGAAGUCGUGUUUGGCCAUAUCGUUUUUGAAAGGCUUUUUUAGACUAUUGAAAGUGAAAUAUAUAGUUAGAUAGAAAAAAGUGAAAACAAGUUGAGGUUUGUUUUAUAUUUGAUAUUUUUAUGACCAUACAUUAUUUUUUAGAUAAAGUGAAGUAAUUUUUUGAAAAAAACAAAUAUUUCUCAUUGUCAAACGGGCCAUAUAUAUAUAUAUAUAUAUAUAUACACUGGAAGCAGAAAGCUACAGUUGUCAUGCCUGUUGUCCGUGAUUUUACUAUAUCACCCAUAAUUAAUCAUUAUAUGACAUUUACGUAUUAGAAAAUUAAUAAAAUUUAAUUUUUUUAAAAAGUAAAAUAAAUAUUUAUGACAUAUCUGCUUCAACUCCUUCAACCGUAAUUUUAUAUAUAUAAUAGAAAACACUUACAUGUGCAAAAUUUUGGGCAAUCAUAAAGAUAAGAAAAGAAAGUGAAAAAGAUAAGUUGCUAUAUAUGUCAAAGCUUUUGGGUAGGUUUACUUUAUGAAUAUAUGUUUUUUUUUUUAUUCACUUUUUUGGUUAAAUAAAUGUAGUACCACCACAACAUUGGAAUUCAUGCAAAUCCAUGCAAUAAUAUGUAAUUUUGAUGUGAUUUAUUUAGUAUUCGGAAUUUACUGAUUCGAUCAAUUCAUAUUCACUGCAUUGAAUCUAUCAACAGGGGUAAUCACUCCUUGUCAGAUGUGUUCGAACCCCAGACCUCUAGUUAGUGUAAAUAAUGGUCAUAAGAAGAAUGAAUGGGGAAAAGACUUCUCAUGACGAUUUCACCUCAGAAUUUUAACUUUAUGAGUUUCAAUUGUCGCUGAACUCACUAACCGUUUGAGAUACUGAAUUCGAAAUUCUUUUAUUAACACAUAUAUAAGAUUUGAAUUAAAAUUACUGCGAUCAUGAAUUCAAUUCAACUUACAUAUUACUCUAGAUUUAUUUUUGAUUGAAAAGGAUUUGGACCAAAAAAACAUAACAAAAAGUUGGAUGGGAAAAGGAAUGAAGCGGGACAAGCUAACCACUAACAAAUGUGGUACAGUGAAUGGAGUUGUUCCUCUCAGAGGUCUCGGAUUCGAGCUCUCAGUGGUGGAGUCACUUUUGCUCCAGGGGUUCAUCCGAACCCCUUUCGACCAAAAAUUAUACCAUUUUUACAUGGUUAAAAAUAUUUUUUCAUGUAUAUAUAAUAGAUGUUGAACCCCCUUCGAUUAGUUCGUAUAUAUACUUCUGAACCCCCUCAAUGAAAAUUCUGCCUCUGUCAUUGCGAGUUUUGGGUAUGAAAAAAUUCUUGAUAGGGAGCGCUACCCCCGAAUGAGCCCUACCCAACACGAAUCCGAAUUAAUCAAACUUCAACAGAUACCGAACACCGGGUGAAACCCCCAAAAAAGAAGAAGUGGGACAAGCUUAUUGUGCAAUGUACACUAUGCCAAAAAAAUACAGCAAAGAGUAACAUGUGAUAAGUUGGAUGAAUAGGGAGAGCACUUUAGUCUAAAGGGCCACACAAUCUCUAAAUAAUCUUUCAGUUUCUAAUUUAUGUGACACACUUUUCGAUUCAGCUCAUCUAAAAAGACUGACACACUUUUAAAUUAAAUUAAAAAAAUAGUUAUGCUUACUAUUAUAUUCUUUAUGAGAAGCUUUAAUAACAAUAUAAAGAGUAAAGCAUCUAGUAUCCUUCUGAACUAUGACCGAAUUUACUGCGGCACAUUCCAAUUUCAUGGGGGUUCUGUUAUCUCUGAACUAAAUUUUAGCGUACUUUUGUCAUUCUUUCUAUCUGACGUGACAUUUUUUGUCAACCUUUUUAGUUGACGUGGCACCUUUGACGGUGCUGUGGACUCCAUUUUAUGUAAUAAAGGUGCCACGUCAGCAUAAAAGGGUGACAAAAAUACGCAAAAAUUGAAUUCAGGGGAUAAUAGAACCCCCAUGAAGUUGGAGCAUGUCGUAGCGACUUUGACCAUAGUUCAGAAUGGGGAAUACUGAAUGCAAUUAACUUUACAAUUCUUAUUUUACCCUCGAUGAGAAGAUUUUAUAAUCAUACAAAGAAUUAUGACAUAUUUGAGGCCACUAGUUUUAAAAGUUUUAUAUCCACACAAAGGUCGUGACAUACUUUAGACCACAAAUUUUAAAGCUGUCGAAGUCGUAUUACAAAUGGGAUUCGCUCUUUCCGAAAACCCUUUGGUUGGAAAACUUUUUUCGACGAACACAUAUCGUAGAAGAUAUCUGACGGAUUUCAUCGCACAGUAAAACUUAAACCUGACAAGAAAAAAUGCAUCUUUUCUGACGACUUCCAUCGUAGGAAUUUAUCUAUUUUCUAAUAGUUUAAUAUUUUUUUUUAAAUUUAGUAUCAACUCAAACUAUAUCAUAUAAAUUGAAAAGAAAAGAAUAACUCACAAGUCACAAGUCACACAUCACAACUCAAAAUUUUCAUUUGAGUAUUUGAUUAUAAUUGUAUGAACCCGUGAGGAGAGUGAGUGUGCAUGUUAUGUUAUCUUUUUUAGGCUGUAUUAUUUUGUUAUUUUGUGGAUCUUGAUGUGAUUGGUCUCCCACCCCACCCCCACUCACCCUACCCCACCUUACACCCAAAAUUAAAAAAUAAAUAAAUUAUUUUGUCAUGUUAAUGUAAGUGAGAUUUACAUCCAUUAUAAAUAGUAUAAGUUAUAAAACUAGUUUUUACUUAUAAUUUGGUUACUUUAUUAUGAGGGUUUAUUAGGGAAAAUGUUCUAUUUUCAUUCUGAACUAUACACGAAAUUGCUGAGAUAUACUCAAACUUUAGGAGAACCAUAUUAUUCCUGGACUAAAUAAAAUCAUAUGUUUUGCAACCUUAGUACUUACGUGGACCUUCAGUGUAUUGAUUUACUGAUGUGCCACGUAUGUAUCACGUAGGCAUUAAGAUUGCAAAAACAAUGAUUUUAAUUAGUUUAGGGGGUAAUAGGACCCUCCUAAAGUUCGAAUGUGUGUUUCAACAAUUUCGUGUAUAGUUCAGGGUGGAAACUGAGCAUUUUCUCGAUUUAUUGGAAACUAUCUUUCUAUCUCUAAGGUAGUAGAUUGAUCGGCCUACAUUCUAGGAAAAAUUACAUAAUACCACAAGUUAUCGAUACUAAAUUACAUAAAAUAUUAUAACCAUACCCUCUUAAUUAAUUUCCUAAAUUUUUUUUUUCUUUAAGAACAACCGGAUAUAUCCACAAACUCAUGAAUUUUUCGAUACGUAAUUUUAAUUAUGUAUCUCCCUUUGGUCUAGUUAAUGUUCUAUGUAUCUCGACCAAAUAGAUUUAGAAAUGGAUGUAUCUCAGUAAUCAAAAUUAUGUAUUCAAAUGCUGAUUAUGUAUCUGAGAAAAAAAUGGAGUAAUUAGAUGUUCCAUUCUUAAGUUCAAAAUUAUGUAUCUCAACUUCAAAAUUAUGUAUUCGAAAGUUGCAAAAUAAGGGAUUGUUUGUGAUUUAACAAAGAGUAGGGAUAGCGGAGUAAUUAGGAGUAAACUUAUUAGGAUUUAUGUAAGUUUUACUACAUUCUAACCUCGCCAGACUUAACUGCAUGGGAUUAUACUGAAUAUGUUGUUGUUGUUGUUAUGAAAAAAUUUAUUUCUCAACCUCAAAGUAAACUACUUAAAUUUAAGAAAAGAUUUUACUAUUAUAUCGUAUAAAGUUCAGUAAUCAUACGUUAAAUGAAUUGAUUCACCUCAAUAUUUUAACGUGAGAUGGUUGGUUUAUUUAAUUGUAGGUGAGAAAUAUAAUCGAUCCCUUAAAGUUAUGAAUUCUUAUAAGGUCUGAACGAAAGUUACUACAUUCCCGUGAACCCGUAAUCAUGCCUCUAAUAUGCCAUUGCUUAGAAUGGGCAAAAAAUUCAUGUUAAUUUCUUUGCUAAAAUAUAAGUCACAUUAUUGUUUUACUAAAAUUUUGGAGUGUUAUCAUAUGCUAUUAAUUGAGUAGAUUUUAUUCCUACCUCUUAAACCCUAAUUUAACUUACAUAUAAGUUAAUAUCUUUAUCAUUACUACUAAAUUAGGAAAUGUUAAAUAGGGGAGACAUGCAAAUUAGGGUAAUAAUAUCACAAAUUGAAGUAACCAUUCAACGUUCAUACAAAAUCAAAUUUAAGUUAUAUACACCAAUAAAUUUAACAGAUCGUAUAAUUACCUACUAUUUUAUGUGAAUCGCUAUUAAAAAUAACGCAAAUUUCUGAUAGGUUUCAUCAAAAAUUGACUUGCCAAUAACAUUUUUUAUGGACUUUUCAUCGAAAAUUUCAUAUUUCUAAUUGCAUUCUGACAUAAACGUCUAUCGAAAAUUCACAUUCUUUUAAUAUUGGAUUAAUAUAAAAUGAUAGGGUUUUUAUUUGGACCACUAAAUUUUUUUUGAGCAUAAGACAAUAAUCAUAUUAAAUAGAAUUUGUCUUGUGUUAUGUCCCCAUAUGGUAAGAACUUGUGGAGUCUUUUGUAAGUGGAGUAAAAUACAAUGGCUCAGAUUUCCUAUUUGUAAAUGAUUGGUUACAAUUGCAUUUGGUCUUUCACAAUGAUCCAUAUAGUAAAAUCAAGAGGUUGUGAUUUCUCCAAGUACAUAUUUUAAUCUGCGUCAGGAUUUGUCAGAAACAACCUUUCUACUUCAUCUGAGGUAGUGAUAUGAACUGCGUACACUUUACCUUCCACCGACCCCACUUUGUGGGAAUAUACUGAGUGUGUUGUUAUUUGACAGUCGUAUUUAUCGUCCAUCGCUUUUGUAUCAUCGCUUUUGUGAUCUCGAAUAAAUAGUUUAUAAUAUUACUUUGUCGAUGUCUUGUUUCUUUUAUUUUCUAGCGGCAUGUAUCCCAUUUUGUUAUUUUUUUAAAAAAAAUUUUGUUUGUUGUACUGGUAUCUGUCCUGAACCGGGGUUCUAUCGGAAACAACCUCUAUACUUCAUCUGAGGUAUAGUGAUAUGGACUGCGUACACUUUACCCUCCCCAGACCCCACUUUGUGGGAAUACACUGGGUAUGUUGUUGUCGUUGUUGUUUGAUAACCGUAUUCAUCGUCCAUCGCUUUUGUGAUUUCAAAUAAAUAGUUUAUAGUAUUAAUUAUUUUGUCGGUAUCUUGUUUCUUUUAUUUUCUAGCGGCAUGUUAUCCCAUUUUUUAUUAUUUUUUUUUGUUUGUUGUACUGUUAUCUGUCCUAAACAAGGGGUUUAUCGGAAACAACCUCUCUACUUCAUCUGAGGUGGUGGUAUGGACAACACUUUACCCUCCCCAGACCCCACUUUAUGAGAAUACACUGGGUAUGUUGUUGUCGUUGUUAUUUGACAGUCUUAGUUAUCGUCCAUCGCUUUUGUGAUCUCGAAUAAAUAGUUUAUAGUAUUAAUUACUCUGUCGGUAUCUUGUUUCUUUUAUUUUCUAGCGGCAUGUUAUCCUAUUUUGUUGUUUUUUUUUAAAAAAAAAUUAUUUUGUUGUGCUGUUGUCUGUCAUGAGCCGGGGGUCUAUCGGAAACAGCCUCUCUACUUCAUCUGAGAUAGUAUUGACUGUGUAUAUUUUAUCUUCCCUAAAUCCCACUUUGUAGGAAUAUACUGGAUAUGUUGAUGUUUACAUAUUUUAAACUGUGAGAUCUAUUUUAAACUGUGAGAUCAAAGUACAUCCAUAGGAUUUGGAUUGAACCUGAAGAAUAUAGUUAGGAAUCUUUAUUAUAUGGUCCUAUUUGUUAGGAUUUUUGCCCUGAUUUUCUUAUUAUAUUUAAGUUUUACUUUUUCUUAGAAGGAAAAUAAAAAUUAUCAUAAUUACUUUUACUUUUUCCUGAAAGAAAAAAUAUAAUUCUUUUCCAUAUUUGGCUAACCUCUUUCUUGGAGGAAAUGUUUUGGACAUUUAUAAAUAGAAGACCCCCUUCUUAUACCACAACACAAUAUCAUCCACAAUGUAGCCGUUUAAAGAGUCUGGUUUAAGGGGAGAUUUUCUCCCAAUAGUUUUUAAUGUUUUUUAUAUUAGUUUUCAAUAUGUAGGUCACUUGAUCAAAUUACAUCAAUAAUAUAUUUUUUAGUAUGUUUUUCUUUUUGUCUGAUUUAUCGUCACGAUAGUUUGCAAUUAAUAGCUUCCGCAUGACGCCCUCUCGAUUUCGAACCCAACACUAUUAAGGUACCUACAAUGUCACAUGACUACAUUUUUUAAUCAUGGAGAAAUAAAGGAAGAGAUAUGUGAGGUGAUCCAGAAUUUAGACGCUGUGGUUCUGAAUCGAAGAUAUAUAUAUCUAACUCUAUAUUUAUCUAUACUUGAUACGUUUUCCACAAUAUAUAACAUCCUAAGCCAGAUAUAUGGAACGCGGUCCAUAAUUUAGAUGUUGUAAUACUGAAUCUAGAGAAUAUGUUCUAAAUUAUAUAUCUAACUUCAAGUUAAUUUGUCUAUAUGUUUUUCGCACUUGUAUAUAAGAUUUAAACACCAAAUCAAGAGAUAUAAAAGGUGAUCCAUAAUUUAGAUGUUGUGAUUCUGAAUCAACAGAAUGAAUUAUGAAAAACAUAUACCUAACUCUACGUUUGUCUAUACUUGUUACAUUUUUCGCACUUGUAUGUAAGAUUCAACACCAAAUAAAGAGAUAUGGAAGGUGAUGUAUAAUCUAGAAGCUGUGAUUCUGAAUCGACAGAAUGAAUUACGAAAUAUAUAUACCUAACUCUAUGUUUAUCUAUACUUUUUACAUUUUUCGCACUUGUAUGUAAGAUUCAAACACCAAAGCAAGAGAUAUGGAUGGUGAUCCAUAAUUUAGAUGUUGUGAUUCUGAAGCGACAUAAUGAAUUAUGAAAUAUAUAUAUGUUUAUCUAAAAUAGAAAUGGGUUGGCCCAAUCUAGCCUGCAGCCCAAGUAGUGGUGGAUUGGACUUAUUGUUUUUAAGGCCCAUCAAAAUGAUGGACCUUUCUUCCUGGCCUGUCAAAUUUUGACGCCUGCAUGGGCUAGCUCAGAUGGAAUGGAUCGACUCAUAUUGACAGCUCUAGUAGGAACACGUUAAUCCUAGCAACACAUCGUAAAAAGGGAAAGAAAAGCCUACUUCUAACAUUGCAUAAUCUUGUAUACUCCGUGUUUAUGAUACAAUAUCGCGCUCUAUAUGACAAGUUUAUAUACCACGAAGAUAGAUUAUUCGUUCCCGGAUAAAUAUUAACUACUAAAAUUGAUGAAUAUAUUCAACGAAAAUGUUUAAAGUACUCAAAGAUACGCCAGUAUACUCCUUUAGAAUAAUGGGAUUUACCUUGUAUACACUAUGGCAUACACAAAAUUUUUGCACUUUUAUCUGUUAUGGAGCUUAAAUUUCAUCAUGCAACAAUAUUUCAGUUACAAGGUUUUGAUAAUAUUCGAAAUGAACGAUUCCAUUUCCUUUCGCGCAGGUCCUCCAUCGCUAACGGAGCUUUUGAUCUUAUUGCUCAACUCCGCGGCCUUUUGCCUCAUCUCUUCCCCUUCUGUCGUACCCAUCAAUGUCUUCACGGCUUUAUCAAUGGUUGAUGCUGUUACCAAUUCAUCCCGGAGAGCCCAACUCUUGACAGACAUUCCAAUCUUCAGUAAAUUGGUUACAUAUACAGCGUUAAAUGGCUGAUCAUAAUCGAUAGGCCAAGUUGCUAGAGGUACUCCCAUGCUAAUGCUCUCGAGACAAGAAUUCCAUCCACAGUGACUCAGAAACCCGCCUGUAGAUGAAUGUCCCAAGAUUUCCAAUUGGGGUACCCAAUUUCUCACCACCAUUCCUCUUCCUUCCACUCUGUCUUCGAACCCUUCUGGUAAUUCAAUCUUCUCAUCUUUCUUUAUAACAUCAGGUUUUCUUAGUACCCAAAUAAAUCUAUGGUUGCUUUGUUCUAAACCAAGCGCGAGUUCAUUGACUUGCUCUUGUGAAAAUGAAGUGGUUUUCCCAAAUGAGACGAAUAUUACUGAGUUAACAUCUUGCUUGUCGAGAAAUUCCAGACAUUCAUGACGAGUCCUGUUGCUAGAAUCGCGUGAUUCUAGCAUCAUAUGAAAUGGACCAAAAGCCCAUAACGGCUUGUGUUUUGCAUUGGCAAGUAAAUCUAUGUACUUACCUUCCACUUCUUUACACGAGUUCAUGACUUCUCCAGAGUGGAACUUCCACUCAUGUUCCACUCUGAAGAACGAUUUCACUUGUGCCUCCAGCACUGGAAACUCAUCCUGCAUUCGCUCGACCAUCUUGUCAUGAUCGACAUCAUUAGCUACGCUACCAACACUUUGUUGGAGGGAUGAAUAUUUGCUAAAAGACGACCCAGUGUGGAAGAUAUAAGACUUGACAUUCGCGAAUGUAUGAACAUCCAAUACAGGUUCUGUCAUCAAAAAGUCAUAAAUUACGACUAAUUUCUUCGCGAUUUUGGAGAGUUCAAGGCAUGUUUUAUGAAUAAACUCCCUGAGUUUUUUCAUGAUUAUACAUGAAGAUGUACCAUUAUAACCACCACCAUCAUCAUCGUCAUCUGUCAAGAGAUCGUCAAAAUGGAUGUUUGAGGCCUCAGGACUACCUUGAACGCGUAGUUUCAAAUCUUGGUUCAGAUUAGCUACGCAGAGGAAGUGUGAUGGUAUAUUAUGGGACGCGAUGAAGCGAGUAAGGACAAAUAUCUGAUUCAGAUGACUGUAAUCAGGAAGUGGCACCAUGACAACAAUCACAUCAUUGUAUGAUGAGUUGGUAUUAGUCAUUGGAACAAGAAGAGAGAAAUGAAUAAGGUACUAUGUGUUUUUGGACUUUAACUUGGAAAAUAGUACUUGUCCCAUCAUAUUACUGUAGUGUUUAUAUGCAUUUAAAAGUUGAACACCAGCUGCAUUUUUGGAUAUAAUAAAACCAACAUGUCAUAUACUACAAAAAACAUAAUAGUAUUCAAGAAAGAUAUGUAAGCUUUGUGGGAGGAACCUCCACCUAAAGUAGAUGAAAAAUACAACACAACAUACCCAACAUAUCCAGUAUAUUCUCACAUAGUGGGGUGCUGUUUCCGAUAGACUUCCGGUUUAGGACCGAUAAAGUAGAUGAAAAAUACAUGAUUUUUUAUUUUUGGAGUUAAGCAUCUUGUAUCUCAUAACUAUGACCAAAUUUGCUACGACACACUCUAAUUUCAGAGGGGGUCUUAUUACUCCUGAACUAAAUUUUAACAUAUUUUUGUCAUUCUUUUUAGCUGACGUGACACCUUUUAUCAACCUUUUUAGUUGAUGUGGCACCUUUGACGUGAAUCUCAUUUUAUGUACAAAAGGUUUCAUGUCAGAACAAAAGGGUGACAAAAAUCCGCUAAUAUUGAGUUCAAAGGGGUAAUAGGGCCCCGUAAAGUUGAAGUGUGUCGUAACAAUUUUGACCAUACUUCGAGGAGAUACUGAUAGUAUUUUAUAAUUCAUGAAAAAGAUUUCAAUGAGAUAUGAUCAAGAUUAAUAAUUUGCUACUUGUGAAUAAUAUAAUACACAUUGGACCUGCCCAAGAAAAUAUAUUAUGUUUUAUCUUUACCAAGUCCCAAGUCCCAAGAAACCUUGGGUUUCUGCUCAAACCUAUUAUAUUUUGAAUUAUUAGGUUUGAAAUUUUAUUUUUGUACAUAUUACUCUCAGUCCAAUAAUAUUUAUUCACUAUUAACUUAACAAAAGAUUCAAAAAUAAUAAAUAAUAAUGAUAAUUUUAUUAUAUUACUUUUUAAAUAUAAUAAAUUUAUUGAGUAACAGGUAGUAUUUAAUCGCAAGGAUAAAACAGAUAAAAAUAAAUAAUUAUUCAUUAAUUUUUUAAAUUAAACAAAUAUUUUUAAACAAAGGAAGUAUAUACAAUAUAUUUUUUCCAACAAUAAAGUAUUCCUGACAUAGUUGAUGAUGGGAAACGAGUUUACAAACUUAGGGUUCUUCGGUGUGAAGUAUAAGAUAUAAUAGUUUUGAAAUAAAAUGUAGAAUUAUUUUAUUCUACGUUUGGUUCGAGGUAUUAGCUAAUCUAGAAAUUAUAUAUCCCAUCAUUUAUACCAUAAUGAUAGGAUGAGUUAUUCCAUAUUCACGGUGUGAUAACUAAUUUCAAAAUAACUAAUUUCAAAAUAACUAAUCUCAAAAUUAUUUAUCUCGAAAUAACUUGUUGUCAAUCAAACGAUCCCUUAUUGUGCAAUAUACAUUACCACACAAUCUCUAAAUACUUCUUCGUUUCGUCUCAUUUCAUGUGAUACGCUUUUUUAUUUAGUUUAUUUCAACAAAAACUCACACAUUAAUAAAUUUAGAAACUAUUAACCUCACAUUUCCCAUUUUACCCCUAGUAAGAAGAUUUUUAUAAUCAUAAAAACAUUAUGAUAUGUUUGAGUUUUAUAAAGAGAAAAUAUUGUAUUUCACUCUUGAACUAUAUCCGAAAUGGUUGAGACACAUCUCAACUUUAAGGAGGUCCUAUUACCCCUGAACUAAUUAAAAGUGUAUUUUUGACAUUCUUAUUGUCUACGUGGCACAUACGUGAUACAACACAGUGAAGGGUCCACGUAAGCACACAUGUGUGCUAUGUAGGUAUUAAAGGUGUUAAAAUUAUACUUUUAAUUAAUUCAGGAGGUAAUAAGACCACCAUUAAAUUAAGCUGUGUCUCAAUCAUUUUGAAUAUAGUUUAAGAAUGAAAUAGGGUAUUUUCUAUUUUAUAAAAGUUGAUCAAAGUGCAUGCAUUGGGCCAUUCUUUUGAUGAAUAUAAUAAAGACAACAUGUGAUAUACAGAUCUGAUACAUAAAAAAAAAACAUAUUAUUCAAGAAAGAUAUGUCAGCUAUGUUGAGCCUCCACCUAAUGUUCUCAUUAAAGACAAAAUUAUUGGCAAUUUUUUAAAUUUGAUUGACAGGUUAAAUGUUAGAAUAUUAUUGUUUGUUUAUUAGGGUGUUUGGAUUUACUUAUUUUAAACUCUUUUUGUUAUUUUUGGGAGUGUUUGGAACUUUUAUGUAAAAAAUUACAAAAAUAAGCUAUUUCCUCUUCUCAACGAUACUUAUCCAUUAUUGACUCGACUCAUUAGUACAAACAUAUUCAGUUUGAAUUGUACCUUGCCCAAUUCUUUCUCACAAAGUGACAAUGUAUGGAAAUGUGUUUUGUCUUCUCGUGAAAUAGUGGAUUGCCAGCUGUAAGGCUGGACCAGGUACGAGGAAUGAAUCUAUAUCUGUGCACGGAAGUUGCUGGCCGGCGGCCACUCAACUGUUUGAGCGCAAUGCAGUAGUGUUGGUUCUGAUUCGACAAAGGUAGAAUGCCUGAUCGAAGGUUCAGUACACUUUCGAAACCAUACUUCCUACAACUAACAUGUGCCCAGUCCAGUAGAAACGCGUAACGCGUACUAAUUCAUAAUCUGACAUAUCCAAAAUGAAAACUUUAUUCUCGAUUCUAGCAAUCUGGACUGCAAGACUUUUGGAGAGCGCAUAAACUGAGUCAAGACUUGUACAACAAAUGAAACAUCAUAAUACUCCUUCUUUGAUAUUGAGAACCCAAUUCCCAGAAAGAACCUAAGUUCAUCAAUUAUGUACGCCGUCACCUGUAAUCAGAAAAUCAUCCACAUAGACAAGUACAAUAGCAACGUUGUUCCUUGUCCUUCUAAUAAAGAGUGAGUAACAUUCGAUCAGAUGAGUUCUGCUCUGAUACCAUAAUAGCUUCCAUUAAUGGUGACGAACAAGCUAGAAUGGCAAAAUAGUGUUUUCCAUAAAACCUGUUGAAGGUGACUAAUCUUUUAUUUAACAACAAAGAUUAAGAGAGAGAAAGUAAACAAAACAUUGAAAGUAAUUUCACAUAAUCAAAAAAUUAAGCGUUAUCAGAAAAAUCUCUCACUAUCUCACACACGCUUAUGCAAUAUCUACCUACACCCAAUUCUCAAAGUGGGAUCUCACUGGGUAUGUAUGUUGUUUGAUAAUAUUUGAUAUGAAAGAUUCCAUUUCCUUGCAUGCGAGUCCUCCAUCGCUAACAGAGCUCUUGAUCUUUUCGCUCAACUCCACUGCCCUUUGCCUCAUCUCUUCCCCUUCCGUCGUGGCCAUCAAUGUCUUCACGGCUUUCUCAAUGGUUGAUGCUGUCACCAAUUCUUCUCGAUGUGUCCAACUCCUGACAGAUGUUCCAAUCUUCAGCAAAUUGGUUACAAGGAUAGCGUUAUAUGGCUGAUCGUGACUGAUUGGCCAAGUUGCUAGAGGCACUCCCAUGCUAACGCUCUCGAUACAAGAAUUCCAUCCACAGUGGCUCAGAAACCCGCCCGUAGAUGAAUGUCCCAAGAUUUCUAAUUGGGGUACCAAAUUUCUCACCACCAUUCCUCUUCCUUCCACUCUUUCUUCAAACCCUUUUGGCAAUUCUAUCUUCCCAUCUUUCUCUUCAAAUUUUUCAGUUUCCAUUUUUUUAUCGGCUUCUCUUAGUACCCAAAUAAAUUUAUGGUUGCUUCGUUCUAGACCAAGCGCUAUCUCAUUGACUUGCUCUUGUGAGAAUGUAGUGGUUCUUCCAAACGAGAUGAAUAUUACUGAGUUAACGUUUUGCUUGUCGAGAAACUCUAGGCAUUCGUGACGAGUCCUGUUGCUAGAGUUGUGUGACUCUAGCAGCAGCAUAUGAAAUGGACCAAUAGCCCACCACUGCUUGUUAUCUUUCGUAUGUGCAAGUAAAUUUAAGUACUUACUUUCGACUUCUCUGCAGGUGUUCAUGAUUUCUCCGGAGUUGAGCUGCCAUUCAUGUUUCUUUCUAACAAAUGCUGCUGCAUGUGGUACACCACAGUUCUCCAACAACGGAAACUCAUCGUGCAUUUGCUCGACCAGUUUGUCAUGAUCUUCAUCAAAUAUGUGAUCAGGAAUACUUUGUUGUAGGUAAGAAUAUCGGCAAAAAGCCGAUCCAGUAUAGAAGACAUAAGACUCCACAUUUGGGAUCAGUGAAUGUACAUUUCUUAUAUGUUCUCUCAUUAUAAUGUCAUGAAUUAUGAUUAGUCUCUUCGCAUUGGCGGAGAGUUCAAUGCAUGCUUUAUGAACGGGGGCCCUGAGUUUUUUCAGAAACAUUGCAAUCGGAGGCAUACCAUCGCGGCCAGCAUCAUCCGUUUCUGUUGGAGAAGAAGGUAUCAAUAGGUCAUCAAAAUGAAUGUUUGAGGCCUCGAGACCAUCUUGGAUUCGCAGUUUCAAAUCUUGGUUCCAAUCAGCAACGCAGAGGAAGUGUACUGGUAUGUUAUGGGAGGCGAUGAAGCGAGCAAGAACGAAGAGUUGAUUGAGAUGGCUGUACUCAGGAAACGGCACCAUGGCCACAAUCACUUCAUUGUCUGAUGAGUUGGUAGUAGCCAUUGGAACAAAAUCAGAAAAAUGAGUUCAGGGCUUUAACUAUGGAAAACACUUGUCAAUAUGCAUUUAAAAAAGGUAAACUGAAGUUUCAACUUGGCGUUCGAAUCUCAGACCUCUGGUUAACAGUGAGGUGAUCUCGGUCAUCUCACCACAUCUUUGAUGGUAAGUUUUCAUACCACGUGAGAAGACUUAUGACAAUGACAAUGACAAUUUUCGUAAAUAAGUUUAAGGAUAUAUCGCAACUUAACCGACUAGAGGCGGAUUCAAAUUCAAAUUUUCCUACGUACGCGUGCGAUCAGAGAUUUUUGACGAAUUUUGUCGCACUAUAAAAAUCAAACCCAAUGAGAAUCAUCACUUCUUUUCUGACUAGUAACGUCACAAGAAUAUAGCGUAUUUUCUACUAGACCGGACCCACAUAAUUUGGGGUCCGCCGGGCCGAUGGUAUUUUAAUAAACAGUCGCUGUGUCUCCUGGUAUGUGUCGCUUUUCUAAUCAAAAGAUGAGAGAACCUCCCUUCUCAAUAAGUUACGGGGUCAUUUUAGCGAGUUUGUUCGACAUGAUUCUCUCAAGCGUCCUAGUGUACUCUAGUGUCGGUUUGGGGUACGGUUAGUUCACCAGGAGGAUCACCCUCCCAAUUCAAAGUUUUUAUUUACUAAGAAGUUUCAACCUUGUUGUCUAUGACAACAGUCGCAACUAUAAACAGACUCAUGUCUAUGACAGGGCAGUAUGCUCUGCUCUCUCAGAACCCCUACUCCUAUACACCCAUCUCUCGUGUGCUUUGCUGAUGUAGACUCUUAUCUUAUAUACCCACCCUCAUGAACUCAGCGUUCUCAGUGAAGUUUGCCCCACUGCAUGAGAUUUGCCUAGCCUCAACACUGAGGUUUGCCCCGCUUUCUCGAAAUUUGCCUAAACUCAGACUCAGUUGAACUCUGGCCCAACGUCUACAAGGAUGACACAAGUGUGGCUAUGUAUCGACCCAACCAACUAGUAGCACGACAAGAAAUCUGACUUUUUGUGGCAACUAAAGUAUUCUGUGGCGACAUUGGGGUUUACUCCAGUGGCGGAGCCAGAAUUUUAGUGAGGGGAUUCAGAAGUAAAUAUAUAGGCUAGUCGAAAGAGGUUCAACAUCUGUUAUAUAUACAUAAAAAUAUUUUUGACCAUGUAAAAAUAGUAUAAUGUUCGAUGAAGGGAAUUCGGAUAAGCCCCCUGAAUUCAAUGUGGCUCCACCACUGAUUUGCACCCAUAGGUGUGACCUGGUGGUUCAAUCCAAUUCAUCAUCUAUUUGACCCAGUAAGUCGAAUGAAUGUGGCCGAAGUUAGAACUCGACCCUACGAUGUUCAAAUAUUGUAUCCACCUCUACAUUUCGUAUGGCAGGCUAUAGAAUAUCUCAUUAAUCAUAAAAUAGAAAAUUUAAAGUUAAGUUGUUUCUAUACGUAGAAAAAUGUCAUUCUAUUUGGAAUAGACUAAAAGUAACAUUGUCACAUAAAAUGAGACAGAAGGAAUAGUUCUUCAACAUCAUUUUAUCGCAGUCGAAGGUUUCUAUAGUGGUCGAGCACUCCAUAACCGAACGAUAUAUUGAAGGUUUGAGUCACAUUGAAGAGUAAGCGGAAACAUGUAAUUAGUCCUAGCAGUGAAGGGUAAAAAGGGAAAGAAAAUCCUACUUCACUCCUAGGACCUAGGUAGUAAAUUAUAAUAAUUAAAUUUGAUGGUGGCUGAAUUCAUAUUAAACCUUGAGAUUCACAAAACCCCAAUAAAAAAUUAGAUAUGCAAACAUUAUAUUUAUUAAAAUAAUAUAUUACGAUACGAUACAAUAUAAUAAAUUAUAAAAUAAAUCCAAACAGAAAUUGUGAAAUUUAAAAAGAUUUUAUAAGGGACGUGUCACAUCUAACUGAUUAGGCCUAUUUUAUUCGUUUCAUGAAUCUUGAAUGUGACUUAUUUUUUUCUAUUUUUCUUUUCUUUUCUUUUCUAUUAUAAAUAAGAGAUGGUUUUGACAUGUUUGCUUGAUUCAACGAUAGGUCACAUAUCAACUAUGUUGCUCGGACUCUUCAAAAAUGUCAAUAUGUGCGUGUCGGAUUCUCUUACAGUAGUGUAUUUUUGAAGAAUCUGACUCGAGUGCAGCAUCAGAAGUGAAGAGUCCGUGCAACUUAGCAGAUAAGUGAGCAUGAGUACACACUCAUGCUCACUAUUGAAAGGUCAAAGUCAAACAUAUGUCGCUCGGACUCUCCAAAUAUGUUGAUGCAUUCAUGUUGGAUCCCCCGAAAAUGCUCAACUUUUGGAGUAUCUGACACCCACCCAUCAACAUUUUCAGAGAGUCCUUUGCCCCGUUUCAUGCAUCUAUUGUUUUGCCUGAGGUAGAGAGAUUGUUUGCAAAAGAACCCCGAUAGGACCUAAUUUCACCAAGUCAAAAUGUUAAGCGCUAUCGAAAAGUGGGUUUUGACAUGUAUGCUUGAUUCAACGAAAAGUCACAUAUCAACUAUGUUGCUCGGCCUUUUCAAAAAUGUCAAUAUGUGCGUGUCGGAUUCUCUUACAGUAGUGUAUUUUUGGAGAAUCCAACUCGGGUGCAGCAUUAGAAGUGAAGAGUCCGCGCAACUUAGCAGAUAAGAGAGCAUGAGUACACACUCAUGCUCACUACUGAAAGGUCAAAGUCAAACCAAUGUCGCUCGGACUCUCUAAAAAUGUUGCUGCAUUUGUGUUGGAUCCUCCAAAAAUGCUCAACUUUUGGAGGAUCUGACACCUACCCAUCGACAUUUUCAGAGAGUCCUUUGCCCCGUUUCAUGCAUCUAUUGUUUUGCCUGAGGUAGAGAGAUCGUUUGUGAUAGAACCCCGAUAGGACCUAAUUUCACCAAGUCAAAAUGUUAAGCGCUAUCGAAAGUUGGGUUUUGACAUGUAUGCUUGAUUCAACGAAAAUUCACAUAUCAACUAUGUUGCUCGGACUCUUCAAAAAUGUCAAUAUGUGCGUGUCGGAUUCUCUUACAGUAGUGUAUUUUUGGAGAAUCCAACUCGGGUGCAGCAUCAGAAGUGAAGAGUCCACGCAACUUAGCAGAUAAGCGAGCAUGAGUAAACACUCAGGCUCAUUAUUGAAAGGUCAAAUUCAAACUAAUGUCGCUCGGACUCUCCAAAAAUGUUGUUGCAUUCGUGUUGGAUCCUCCGAAAAUGCUCAACUUUUGAAGGAUCCGACACGCACCCAUCGACAUUUUCAGAUUCCUUGGCCCCGUCUCGUACACCUUUUGUUUUGCCUGAGGUAGAGAGACUGUUUGCGAUAGACCCCUGAUAGGACCUAAUUUCACCAAUUCAGAAAGCUAAACGCUAUCGAAAAAAGGUCUCUCUACCUCACACAAGUCUGCUCGAUGCCUGUGGACACCCCACUCUCCCAAAUCCCACCUGUGGAAUCUUACUCUGUAAGAAUAUGAAGAUUAUGAGAAGUAAAGAGGUACUAGUAAUUCUCAAAUGUCAAUAUAUCUGACUAGCCAUGUAAGACUUCUGCCUUUGGCUAUCAAGCUUAUUUCAACAUAGGAAAAUAGAACUGAGAAACAACAAAUCAGGAAGGACAUUCGACCUAAAUGUGCUGAGAAACAAUAUCUUGAAAGACACAAUCCUGAAAGUUAUUUGAUAAUAUUUGAGAUGAAAGAUUCCAUUGCCACACGUGCAGGUCCUCCAUGGCUAACAGAGCUCUUGAUCUUUUUGCUCAUUUCCACUGCCCUUUGCCUCAUCUCUUCCCCUUCCGUCGUGCCCAUCAAUGUCUUCACCGCUUUCUCAAUGGUUGAUGCUGUUACCAAUUCAUUCCGGUGAGCCCAACUCUUGACAGAUACCCCAAUCUUGAGCAAAUUGGUUACAAGUACAGCGUUAUAUGGCUGAUCGUAACUGAUUGGCCAAGUUGCUAGAGGCACUCCCAUGCUAAUGCUCUCGAUACAAGAAUUCCACCCACAAUGACUCAUAAAGCCACCCGUAGAUGAAUGCCUCAAGAUUUCCAGCUGUGGUGCCCAAUUUACCACCAUUCCUCUUCCUUCCACUCUCUCUUCGAACCCUUGUGGUAAUUCAAUCUUUCCGUCGUCCUCUUUAAGUUUCUCCGCUUUUUCUCCUUUUCUUAGCACCCAAAUAAAUCUAUGGUUGCUUUGUUCUAAACCCAGAGCGAGCUCAUUGAUUUGCUCUUGUGAUAAUGUAGUGGUCGAUCCAAAUGAGACGAAUAUUACCGAGUUAACAUCUUGCUUGUCGAGAAAUUCCAAGCUUUCAUGACGAGUCAUGUUGCUAGGCGAAAAAGAGAUAGAGUCAUGCGAUUCUAACAUCAAAUGAAAUGGACCAAAAAUCCACAACGGCUUGUGUUUCGCAUUGGCAAGUAAGUCUAGGUACUUACCUUCCACUUCUUUACACGAGUUAAUGAUCUCUCCGGACUGGAGCUUCAACUCAUGCUCCAUUCUAAACCACAAUUUCUGAUGUGGCUCCAACACCGGAAACUCAUCCUCCAUUUGCUCGAUCAGUUUCUCAUGAUCAUCGUCAUCAACUACGCCGGGAAUACUUUGUCGAAAGGAAGAAUAUCUGCUAAAAGUCGCCCCGGUGUGGAAGAUAUAAGACUCCACAUUUGAGAUCAAUGUAUGGACAUCCUGUAUUUGGUCGCUCAUUAUAAGGUCAUGAAUUAUGACUAAUUUCUUCGCAUUGGUGGCGAGUUUGCAGCAUGUUUUAUGAAUAGGCUCCUUGAGUUUUCUCAGAAUCUUUACAAUCGGAGGCAUGUCAUCACGGCCAUCAUCAUCUUCUUCUGAUGGAGAAGGUCUCAAGAGGUCAUCGAAAUGGAUGUUUGAGGCCCCGAGACCACCUUGGACGCGGAGUUUCAGUUCUUUGUUCUGAUCAGCAAAGCAGAUGAGGUGUACCGGUAUAUUAUGGGACGCGAUGAAGCGAGCAAGAUCGAAGAGGUUGUUGAGAUGGCUAUAGUCAGAAAAUGGCACCAUGGCCACAAUCACUUCAUUGUCUGAUGAGUUGGUUGCCAUUGUGAACAAAGAACAGAAAAAUGAGUAUAGAGCUUUUAACUAUGGUUGAAAUACUUGUAUCGCACUUCUUUCUUGUCAAUAGGCAUUUAUAUAUACAACACAAAUGAGCCACCUUCACAAACGAUGACCUCUUUUGACUUGGCACGGAUUUUAAGAAAAGAGAUGAGCAUCCAGUACCCCUCGAACUAUGGCCAAAGUUGCUACGACACACUCUAACUUCACAUUGGUCCUAUUGCCCCCUAGACUCAAUUUUAGCAUAUUUCUAUCACCCUUUUGCGCUAACAUGACACUUGUAUUAUAUAAAAAUGAGGCUCACGUUAAAGGUGGCUACGUCAGCUAAAAAGGUGUCACAUCAACUAAAAAGGGUGACAGAAAUAUGCUAAAAUUAAAUUCAGGGUAAUAGGAUCCUUGUGAAAUUGGAGUGUAUCGCAGCAACUUUAAUCAUAGUUCAGGGACUACUAGAUGCUUUAAACUUAAGCAUAUAAAAAAAAACUUUUGAAUCUAGUUCAUUCGUGUGUUUACUUUUUUGGAAUUUAAACUCUCAGUGGAUCCGUCAUUGGACGACGGAGGAAAUAUUUAGUACUCCUAACCCACUCUUAAUUCAAUCACCACAUAAAUACAGGGACAGUGUACACAUGUUUCAGCAUGGUUUGAACAAUAAUUUAGUAGAUUCUGACAUAUUUUUCUACUAGUAGACUGACAUGCCUCGAAAAUAGUAUUUGAGUGCCGUACACUUUACCCCCCUCAGUUUUUAUUUAAGUAUUUUAUUUAAGAGGAGAUGAUUGAUAUUAAUGUAGAGAAUAACAUAAGAAAGGUGUAAUUAGGAAGUCUUCUGUCCGAUAGACACAUUGGAGUACGACUAAUUCACAUUUGCAUCGGAAAGCCACGCUAUGGCCGGGGGUAAAGCCUCCCUACUAAUGACGACUCUAUACCUAUGAAUCAAACCGAUACCGCUAAUCAAGAAUGAAAGAAUAUUUACCACUGCACCACGAUCUUUGAGUAUCAUUUCAAAUUUUAUGGUUUCAUAGGUCGAGGACUGAGAAUUAAAAAGAAAAAAAAAAUCACUAGAAAAUCAGCCUAGUACUAAAGCUAUCACUAUGUGUGAAAUCCGAGAAAAGGCAAAUCACAAGAGUGUCCAAAUUUAUAUGAGUUUGUUAAACUUGAUAUGAAUUUUAAGAAAGAGUAAAUGCUAUGUUUCCAUCCCGAACUCUACACGAAAUUGCUGAGACACACUCGAACUUUAGGAGGGUCCUAUUACCCCUGGACUAAUUAAAAUCAUAUUUUGGCAACCUUAGUGCCUACGUGGCACAUCAGUGAAUCAACACACUGAAGGUCCACGUAGGCACACGUAUGUGUCACGUAGGCACUAAGGUUUCCAAAAAUACGAUUUUAGUUAGUCCGAGGGUAAUAGGAUCCUUUUAAAGUUCGGAUGUGUCUCAACAAUUUCGUGUAUAGUUUAGAGUGGAAACAAAACAUUUUCUCUUUAAGAAAUAAAGAAAUACUUUUGAAACUUUUGAUCUAAAUAUGCUUGUGCAUUUCAUUAAGCAUAAAACAGACAUUUUAAAGUUAGUUUGUUACUAAAUAUAAAUAUAGAAACGUGUCAUUCUACUUGGACAGACUAAAAAGAAAGUGAGUCAUAUAAAUUAGGAUAGAUGAAGUAUAAUAUUACCUUACAUUUUUAAUAGGAACUGUUUCCACGACUUGAACCUGUGACAUCUACAAUACUUGUCCACAAUUGACGUGUCACACAACUUAAUGAGAAAAUGUGUGUGUUGUUAAUAGUGGAUAAGUAAAGAUGGACGGAGGGAAUAACGAACUAAGUUACACAGACUCUUCAUUGUCGAUGUCGCAUUUGUGUCAGACACAACUGAUUCAGAAUGAGCAUGAUCUUAUGAUAUGUAUAUGACUUAGUCUUUUGACACAUGAAUACAUGAUUCGAGCCCGAAGUAAUGAGUUGAGUCGACCACCAUAAAACUUUGCUCUGAAUCCGUCUCUGACUAUACAUAGCUCUCAUCGUACAUACAAAAUAUCGGUACUACAUGUAUCAAAGAUGUAGUAAAACUGAUUUAGAAUGAGUAUGAUCUUAUGAUAUGUAUAUGACUUAAUCUUUUGUCACAUAGCCCUUCGUACAUACAAAGUAUCGGUACUACAUGUAUCAAACAUAACACAUCAUAUCAAAGCAGUAAACUGAUUCGGAAUGAGCAUGAUCUUAUGAUACGUGUAUGACUUAGUUUUUUGGCACAUGAAUACAUGGUUCGAACCCAAAGUAAUGAGUUGAGUCGACCACCGUAGACCUUGCUCUAAAUCCAUCUCAGACUAUACAUAGCCCUUCGUACAUACAAAGUAUCGGUACUACAUGUAUCAAACAUAGCACAUCAUAUCAAAGCAGUAAACUGAAUCAGAAUGAGCAUGAUCUUAUGAUACGUGUAUGACUUAGUUUUUUGGCACAUGAAUACAUGGUUCGAACCCAAAGUAAUGAGUUGAGUCGACCACCGUAGACCUUGAUCUAAAUCCGUCUCUAACUAUACAUAGCUCUUCGUACAUACAAAGUAUCAAUACUACAUGUAUCAAACACAACACAUCAUAUCAAGUAGUAAAUCGAUUCAGAAUGAACAUGAUCUUAUGAUAUGCAUAUGACUUAGUCUUUUGGCACAUGAAUACAUGGUUCGUGCCCAAAGUAAUGAGUCUAGUCGACCACCAUAAAACUUGCUCUAAAUCCGUCUCUGACUAUACUGACAAAAUAUCAGUACUACAUGUAUCAAACACAACACGCCAUAUCAAAGUAGUAAACUGAUUUAGAAUGAGCAUAACCUUAUGAUAUGUAUAUGACUUAGUCUUUUGGCACAUGAAUACAUGGUUUGAGCCCAAAGUAAUGAGUCUAGUCGACCACCAUAAAACUCUGCUCUAAAUCCGUCUCUGACCAUACAUAGCUCUCUUCGUACAUGACAAAAUAUCGGUACUACAUGUAUCAAACAUAACACGCCAUAUCAAAGUAGUAAACUGAUUCAGAAUAAGCAUAAUCUUAUGUAUAUGUUUUAGGACAUGAAUACAUGAUUCGAGCACAAACUAAUGAGUUGAGUCGACCACCAUAAAACUUGCUCUAAAUCCGUCCCUGGCUAUACAUAGCUCUUCGUACAUACAAAGUACCGGUACUACAUGUAUCAAACAUAACACAUCAUAUCGAAAUGCAUCAGUCAAUUCAUCUUCUAUCUAUUGUCACAUCCAAAUCGAGUCCUGUACUCCAAGAAGAUCCUUGCCGCGCCAUAGUGAGCCAAUGCACCAAACACAACAAACGUAUGAAAUAUUUGAUGACUAUGACCAACUAGAUCGAACAAUCCAGGCUUCCAUUUCUCCGGUACGCGGCUAACAUAAAAUGUAGCCCCUAUUACAUAACACAAUGCCAUGCUGGAUUCAUAUGCAAGUGUUACAUUCCUCAUAGGAUCACUCCAAUUCACAACAAGUGCAUGAAUUGCAGGAAAGAUACCAAAACAACCCAUCGACAUGAACAACCCAACCCGAAAAGACCUAUAUUUCCCUGUCGAAAACACGGGGAAGAGCAGAGUUAUGAUAGUGCAAACUCCCAAGAUUGUUAUCCCAGUGAGGUACACAACUUGCCAAUGUGGUGAACAUUGAAAGAUAUAGUACAUUGGUGGAAAGAAUGAGGUGAUGAUCAUGAUUGUAAUGCCAACAUAGUCAAUUUGUACCAAGAAAAGAUUCAAUCUUUGUGAAUGACAUGAGAAAAGAUGGCAAAUACUACUUGAUAAAAGACACAACAUUGCACCAGCUAAGAAUACAUAGAAUGGCCAAGUUGCUUCAUUUGUUGCACUUUCUGAUAAUGUUAUGUCCAUUUGUAAGUGUUGGUCAGUUAGCCUGGUUGUUUCUCCCUGUAUACAAAGCCGGACACACCGAUAAUGUAAAGAAUUCUUAUCGUUACAAAAAGAGAAAAUAGAAAUUAGCGACAGACAACUUCUGUCGCGCUUCCUAUUUAGCGAUGAAUUAUCAAGAAAUCCUGUUAGUUACAUGCUAUUCGGUGACAUAUUAACCGCGAUUCUCAUAGCUAAUUUCUAUCUUUUUUUGGAGAUAAGCAUCCAGUCCCCCUCAAAUGAUGGUCAAAGUUGCUACGAUACACUCCAACUUCACAGGGGUCCUAAUACCCCCUUAACUUAAUUUUAGCGUAUUAUUGUCACCCUUUUGUGCUGACGUGACACCUUUAUUAUAUAAAAUGGGGCAACAUCAAAGGUGUCACAUCAGCUAAAAAGAGAAAAUAGAAAUUAGCGACAGAUAACUUCUAUCGCGCUUCAUAUGUAGCGAUGAAUUAUCAAGAAAUCCUGUUAGUUACUUGCUAUUCGGUGACAUAUUAACCGCGAUUUUCAUAGCUAAUUCCUAUCAUUUUUUGUAAUGUAUAAUAGCAAUGCAAUUUAGCUACUUUAUUUUCCGAGUAAAGCAUCUAGUACCCCUGAACUGUAUCAAAUUUGUUACGAUACACUCCAACUUCACAGGGGUCUCAUUACCCUCCUGAACUCAAUUUUAGCUUAUUUUAGCUGACGUGACAUCUUUUGUGAACCUUUUUAGCUGUGGGCCCCAUUUUACAUAAUAAAGGUGCCACAUCAGCACAAAAGAGAGACAAAAAUACACUAAAAUUGAGUUCGGGUAAUGGAACGCCCUGUGAAGUUGGAGUGUGUCGUAGCAACUUUGGCGUAGUUCAGGGGUACUGGAUGCUUAUCUCUUUUAUUUUCCAUUCAACUUAUAUACAUUACUAGUAUAGAGAAUUUUUACAUUGUUAGCGUAGUUUAACAUGUUAUAACGGGUUACUUGCUUUAUUUCCAAUUAUUAUGGACGCUGACCUGUAAUUAUCUUUUAGGUGGUUUAAUAGCGUGUAUAAUUUCUUUUUUUUCUUUUUAACUGUCAAUAUAUAGAAGUUAAAUAAUUUAGAAAUUCAUGAGUACUUAAAAGUAUACCUUUGAAUUUUGAGAGAUGUUUGCAUCCCCACUAGUUGGAAAAUUCCUGUAAGAAAAAAAAACUCAAAAUUAUUUCUUACAGAAUAAAAACUAAGAAAUUUUAGAAUUAGUGAAAAUCAAAUUAAAAUUCAAAAUAUCGAUUUUAAGUAAUGCAUCUAGUACCCUGAACUAUGAUCAAAUUUGCUGUGACAAACUUCAAUUUCACAGGGGUUCUAUUAUCCAUGAAUUUUUAUCACCCUUUUUAACUGACGAGGCACCUUUUUAGCUGACGUGACACCUUUGACGUGAGCCUCAUUUUUAUGUAAUAAAUGUGACACGUCAGCACAAAAGGGUGACAAAAUACGCUAAAAUUGAGUUCAGGAGGAUAAUAGGACCCUUGUGAAGUUGGAGUGUAUCGUAACAACUUUGACCAUAGUUCGAGACGGAACUGGAUGCUUAUAUCAUCGAUUUUCAUUUAAAACUUGAAAUUUAAAGUCACUGAUUCUCGUGGAAAAGACUACUAAUGAUUGCAUUAGUGUAGGUCGUUUACAUCACAUCUCUUGGGAUGCAGAUCUUCUCUGAACCUAAUUAACGUGGGGCAUAAUAUAUAAACAAGACCUUUAACUUGACACCAAAUUAUAAUUAUCACCUUUAACUUUAUCAAUGCACAAAUAGGCCCUUUAACUAUAUAAAAUCUGAACAAAAAAACACUCUAAUCCUACCUGGUAAAAUGCGUGUAUACACUCAAAACCAUACGCGUCAGAGUUAGAAUUGAAAUAUUUUUUUGUUCAAUUUUUGUAUAGUUAAAUGACCUAUUUGUGCACUGACAAAGUUAAAGAUCAUACUUAUAAUGUCUUUUUUAUUAGGUGGCAGCAUCUGGGUGAAUUACUAAUUCACGCAUGUAAGUUGCAGAAUUAGAGUGUUUUUUUAUUUAGUUUUUAUAUAAUUAAAAGACCUACUUAUACACUGAUAAAAUUAAAGAUUAUAAUUAUAAUUUAGUGUCAAGUUAAAAGUUGUGUUUAUGUAUUAUGUCUUUUAUGUAAUAGAUCUUUUUUUUUUAAUAAAAAACAACUCUUAAAAUAUAUCACCAAGAAAAUAUCAAGAGAAAUAAAUGUACACACAUUUAAAGAUGGUAGUUGGGAGUUUGAUAAAGUGUCUUUUUAACCUAACAUUAUAAUCCUUCAAAUAUUAUUGGACCACAUCUAUAGGUCUAUUGCAUUGGUUUUGACAAAAGUUUAAUUGUUUACGUACUAAAGUUUGCCACAUCAAAAGGAUAUUUAAGUUCCUAAAGACCCAAAACUCGAAACAUCUGAUUAUCGAUUUGACAUUCGACUAAUUCAGAUUUGAGACGAAAGUCAUAAUAUGGGGUUGGGUAUGCAAAACGCUCCAUAUCAAAGGUGAUUCGGUUUUUCAAGACUUGAUAACGAGACCUUCAGUUACAAUUUUAGGAACCGGCUAAUCUAGUUUUUAGGGGCGGAGCCAGUCUUCCAUUCGGGGUUCGACCGAUGAAAAAAUAUAUCAUUUAUACAUGAUUAAAAUUAUUUUUUAUGUGGUUAUAGUAGGUGUUGAACCCCCUUCGACUAAGUUUUCUUGGAAUAUGAAACCACUUUGUUAAAAUCCUGACUCCGCCUCUGCUAGUUUUGCAAUAACACAUACUUCUAUGGGCUAAAACACUCUCUGCUAAAGACGACUCAGUUACCAAACUCAACCCCGAGAUCUCCGAUUAUGACAACUCAAUAUGAUUAAUUUGAAUUAAUAUUCUUUUAUUUUUAUUUUUUCAUCUGGUGUUUGGUACCCGCAUUGAGAGCCCGAUAAAUCCGGAUUCGCGUCACAUAAGGCCCAUUCGGGGGAAACGCUCCCUAUCAAGAAUUUUUUUCAUGCCCAGAGCUCAAACUCGAGACCUCUAAUAGCCCCAUCGACUGUACCAAAUCUUUUGGUGAUGAACUAAUAUUCAUUAUCAAUCAACAACGGAACAAGAUUCAUUUACAUAUAAAUAAUUUAAAAGUACUUUUUGAGUUAUAUAAGCAAUAUUAUUUAAAUGUAUAUAAACAAUAUAAUUUUCUGACGAAAAGAGUACAACCUAUUAGACACAUACCUGAUAAACAUAGUCAUAAAAUCAGCAAGUUGAGAUAUAUGUUCUGCAUUAGCAAUGGUUAAUACCAUAAACAGAAUAAAUCCAAUUAAAUGCCUGAAAAAAAAAAAACAAGUAAUCCAAUUUAGAAAAAUAAAUUUUUUAAAAAAUCCAAUUCUAAAUAAAUUGCAAAUAAAGUAAUUAUCUCAACUAUUCAAUAAAAUCUAAAUUUAAAUAAAAAAAUAGAAUUAUGUGCACUAACAAAGUAAAAAUUCUUCUACAUUAUUGAUGAACUUUACCAUUUCUACAAAUUAUUGAUUAACAUUUAAUACAAUUUACCUAGAAUUAACUAUUAAAUAGCUUGAUUAUAAAAUAUUAUACAUACACUACUAAAGAAAAUAGGAAUUAGCGAUCAAAUAUAUAGCUAAACAACAAAAUUCAUAACUAAUUUCAUUUAUUAGUGGCAUAUUAGCUAUAAAUUAUCAAAAAUAAAAUAAAAAUCCAUUAGCUGAACACGCUUCAACUUUGUGGGAUCCUAUGACCCCCUGGAUUAUUUUUUACCGUAUUUUUGUGACAUAUAUUGAUCAGCCGGACCACUACGUGAAUACACACUGAGCGUGUAAAGGUCCGAAGUGGUCCAGCUAAGCAAAUAUAUGCCAAAGAAAUAUGAUAAAAAAUAAUCUAGUGGGUCGUAGAGCCCCGCAAAGUUGAGGCAUGUUACAACGAAUUUCGCUAAAAUUUAGGUAUAUUUCGAAACUUUUUUUCCCCAAAAGAAUUAAACUUAAAAAAAAAAAAAAACAUGAAAUGAGAUACUUACGUCCAGACAUUUAGAGUUUCAUUAUGCCAAGUGAAAAUACUGAAAAAUGCUUGUUUAAGAGGCCAAUUAGCUCUAUAAUAAUUCAAAAUAAAUUCAUUAUCCUUCAUAUAUUCUGGUAAUUCUUGAUAAGAAAUUAAAGGAUAUUUUUCCCUUAUAUUUCUUUCAAUAUUCUUCUUCUUAUUCUUCAUCUUCUUGCUUCUCUUUGAAUCAAGAUUUUGAUGAUCUUUUUCUUGAUUCAUCAUCUUUAAAAAAAAAAAAAAGAGAAGAAGAAAAAAAAAAAGAAAAAGAGAGAAAGAGAAAGAUAUUUUCUUUUUUUCUUGAUGAGUUUUUGCUAAUUUUUGGAGUUUGAUGCGUGGUUUUGUGGUGUUUUUUUUCUGUGUUUGUCCAAGUAAUUAUUUAGUAGAAAGUUAGGAAGAAAGACCAUUUAUAAAGAAUAUAUUUUACCAGUUUCGUGGCGGGAUGAAUCGGAUCCCUUUAUUCAUUGAGUAAAGCAUCUAGUAUCUUGGAAUUCUGACGAAAUUUGCUACGACAUAUUUUAACUUUAUGGGGUCCUAUUAUUCCUUGAACCAAAUUUAUUUUUGUCAAUAUUUGUAGCUGACGUGAUUUCUUUUAUCAACCUUUUAAUUGACGUGACGCUAUUGAUGUGGGCCUCAUUUUAUGUAUAAAGGUGCCACAACAGCACAAAGGAG
rnacentral:lncRNA from 1 species